rnacentral:lncRNA from 1 species
ACGCCCGCUUCUCAGCUUCAUCUCCUCCAGCGCCUGUACUUCCUCUCUUUCCCAUCACUCUCUGUUCUAUAAAGAUCAUAGUUUUGUGGGUAUUGCUUUAAUGAGAAUGUGUGUAUCUUUGCAGCAAUUCUCUGGUGUCGGAGCUGAAUAGCAUGACUAAGUUGUCCGAGAAAUGCAACAUUCAAGUCCCCAUGGAAGUUCUUAGGUGAGCAUCAUGUCCUUUUUAUGCAAAACUUUGCUUUGGGUUUCUGAUGGUUACUGGUGGCUUUGCUUACUAGCUUGAUUGAUGAUGGGAAGAACCCGGACGAGUUUACAAGGGAUGUUAUUAAUAGCUGCGUUGCCAGGAAUCAAGUUACAAAGGGCAAGACUGAUGCUUUCAAGGUGGACUCCCUUUCUCUGCUGAGUCUUUUAACUUGGGUAUGGGAUUUUUACUCUUUUUUUUUUGUGUUAAUAGGAUUUGAGAAAACAUAUACUGGAGGAGCUUGAAGAGACUUUCCCUGAUGAAGUUGAUAAGUAUAGAGAGAUCCGUGCUGCUUCUGCCGCUGUAAGUUGUUAACUUUCUCUUCCUUGUGAUUGUCCUCGUUAAUAUAGUAGGCAGUAAACCCAAAGGUGACAAAAUAACUUUCAGGAAGCAAAACGGGUGGCUCAAUCGCAAAGUGUGUUACCCAAUGGGGAUGCCAAGGUCAAGAGCGAGCUAUAAGAAAGAAGCUACUGUUGUUCUUCUGUGGAUCUUCUUACCUUGUAGAAUAAAGUUUCUGAGUAGAUGAUGUAAACCACUUCACCAAAACAAAAACGAACGAGAUCACUUUGUUUGCAAUUUCUAUAUAAUAUCUGUUGUUUGUUUAUUCUUCCGUAAAACCCUCCCAACUUUAAUUUCUUGCAAAUCUACACUCAACUGCAAUUACUUACGUUUUAGUUAAUUACAAAAUUGGUUUGGUUCUGUUCUGUCUCACCUACAUUUGCACGUGUUAAUUUAAUAAACAGUAUUGUAUUACACGUGCCAAAUGAAACGCACCGUUUUUUACUUUUCCUUACCAGAGGGGGAAUCAAUCAAAAGGAAGAACAGGAGUCGUUAGUAGUUCGGUUCUUCUUCCUAUAAAACCAAAGAGGAGCAGGUUUUUCGAGAUCCGGUCAAAAUCUAAAGAAGGAUCCGUUUUGAUCAGAUCAGUUUGAAUUUCAUCGAGAGUAGGAAGAGAAAGGAAGAUGAGCGAGGUAUUUGAAGGGUACGAGCGACAGUACUGCGAGCUCUCAACCAAUCUCUCCAGAAAAUGUCAUUCUGCCUCGCUUCUCUCCCACGGAGGUAUAAAACCUAAUCUUUGUUAUAUUAAACGUCUUUGACCUGCUUACGAUCUGACGAGUUCUGUAGCAUCUGGGAAUGUGAUGUUACAUCAUUGCUUGGAUUCUCGUUAUUCAGUUGCCUAGAUCUUCCUUCAUUUCUCUAUCAAUCUUUGUUCAUCAUUGUCUUUCUUGGACUUUAUACUGCAUAGCCUUGUUUACUCUGUAGGAUCCGGGAAUGUUGGGAUGUAAUCUCUUUGUUUUGGACUCUAUGCAUAUUUUGUUUUAUAAUCUCUCCUCAAGUCAUUGUUGAGCCUGAAAGAUGAAAACCUUGUUAGCUCAAGAAUGGAUUAUGUAGCUAGCUGCAUAGACAUGUUUGAGUUGAUUAAAGAUUGUGCCUCCAUAAACUAGGAGUAGAGGUUUGAUUAAUUGUAAUGUGUUUUUCGCAGAAGAGAAGAAGGAGAAGCUUGUUGAGAUUAAGUCUGGAAUGGACGAAGCUGAUGUCUUGGUAUUUUCAUUUGUUAUUCUUAAUGUCUAAAUCCUUUUCUUGUUUUUUCUCUCUUUGAAGCAAUAUGGCUUCUACUUUUUUUAUUGUAGAUCCGGAAAAUGGAUCUUGAGGCAAGAAGUUUGCAGCCGAGUGCUAAAGCUGUGUGUCUCUCUAAACUAAGAGAGUAUAAAUCUGAUUUGAACCAACUGAAGAAAGAAUUCAAACGAGUGUCUUCCCCAGAUGCUAACCAAUCUACACGUGAAGAACUUAUGGAAUCUGGAAUGGCUGAUGUGCAUGCGGUAAAACUGAAGUGUUCUUGCUCUUCAUCUUAGAUGCUAGAUGCCAGAGAUGUUAAAGCUGAUUUACAUGAUUGCCAGGUAUCAGCUGAUCAGAGUGGGAGAUUGGCAAUGUCAAUGGAGAGGCUUGACCAAUCAAGCGACAGAAUCAGGGAGAGUAGAAGACUAAUGCUGGAGACAGAAGAGGUUGGCAUCUCAGUUGUUGAGAAUCUCAGUCAGCAACGCCAAACCCUCCUUCACGCUCACUCUAAGGUUAUACCAUAUAAAGCAAUUUUACAAUUUAUCAGAAAUGGUUCGUUGAGAAAAAAGACUAACUCUUUGUGUUUUGGUGUAACAGCUUCAGGGUGUGGAUGAUGCCAUUGACAAGAGCAAGAAAGUGUUGACUGCUAUGUCUAGAAGAAUGACGAGGAACAAAUGGAUCGUUGGUUCGGUCAUCGUGGCUCUCAUUCUCGCCAUCAUCUUGAUCAUCUCAUACAAGCUUUCUCAUUGAUUUACUCAAAAUUCAUCAUGAUUAUUGUGUAUAUAGGAUCGUUGAUUGCUUUGUAAUGUACCCAAAUAUUUGUUAUAUACUUCCAAACAUUUAUUAUAUAUACUUCAAAGGUAGGUCUAUGUCUAAUGUUAAGCAAUUAAAACACAUGGCAUGAAGUACAUCAGGUCUCCGUUAAGCUGUUUGUUUGUUUUUGUAAUGUAAUGUGGAAGUUUAUACAAUCUGGAAGUCAUUGGUUCUUGUUACCGAAUAAAAGUCGCAUUUUUCAUGGUAGUUGAUUCCACCUAUUUUCUGGCUUCUACAAACAUUUUAAAAAUCAUGGGUAAGAAGCAUAUAAAGGGGGCCGGUGCAGAAGGUGAAGCUGAGAUGGAACUUGUGUAAUCUCUGGCGUUCUUGUCUUGUUGGCAGCCUAACCAGAGCUCAAUGUACAAACCGAUAGAAAAUUGUCUGGUUUGGUUAAUAACCAAGAGUGGGUAUGAACCGGGCUUGAGUGAAUGAUUUGAUUGAUCUCUAUGAAUACGUCAAAUCCCCUAUAUAUUAAAAGAGAAACAUUACAACAUAUUUUUAUAUCCACAUGUCAUCACCACAAUCAUUCUUAGAAUCCUUAGAAAAAUAUGGUCUAUAUAAAUAUAUAAUAAGCUUUUUAUUAAACUAACCAUAAAUUAAUCAUAAAUUACCUAAUGUGGCUAAAGUAUAUAUAACAAUUAAUGAUUUUGAAUAAUAAAGAUUUGGUAAAAAUCAGUCUAUUCUCUAUCAUUUUUAAUUCAUUUUAAAAUAAAUUAAACAAUCACAUUAACUAUAUAAUAAAAAUUUAGAUUUUUUUGUAUAUGUUAUAUUUUGAAUUUUAAACAACGAAUAUAAAUGACUAAAGUUGUUAAAAAUCUCACACUGAAAUUUUUGUGAUCCAUGGUUUAAAAUUUAUGUUAUAACAAGAUACAAAUGAUUACGGAAUUACAUAAGUAGGAAGUCUCAUUUAAUAAAUAUUAUAUAUAUGCAUAUUAAUAUUGUUUUUAAAAAUAAAUUAUAUACCAUAUAAAAUACAUAAAUAUUUUAAUUUCGAAUUUGACUUGAAACUUUUUGAGAAACAUUUUGAACAAUUAUUGACAACUUAAUAUUUAGAUUUUAAACUUUGCAUUGAAUGUUUUUAAAAUUAUAAAUUACUAAAACUAUUAAAUAUCCCAUAAUUUUUUUAUUGUUAUCAUUGAUUUAAAAUUUUGUCAUAAAAAAAUACAAACGAUCAAAAAUAAUAUUAGUAUAAAAUAUUUUUUAACAGAUGUCAAUGUUAAAAAUGUACUAUAUAUCUAUGUUAAUAUCAUUUAAACUUAAUUUUAUAACAUAUAAAAUAGAAAAAAAGUGUUUGUCUGGAUAAAUAAAAUUUAUUUAAGUAUGUAUACCAAUUUAAUUAUAUACGUAAUAGUUACUAAAUUUUUAAUUAUUCAAUAUAUAUUUAUUAUUUCAAAUAUGUAAAAAAUAUAUAAUACUUAACAAUAAUUUAUAUAUAAUAUUCAUUCCGCGCAAGGCGCGGAUCUUAACCUAGUAUAAAUAUAAAGUAUAAACUGUGUAAAACAGAACUAAAAUGAAGAGUUUAUAACACAAAUAAACUUUAUGUGUUUUUAUUACAUUCGAGAGCACAUUGUGCUACUGGGAUAUGGACAUUUUAUUAAACGUCAUAUUUCAUUGGUUAGUGAGUUUGAAUUUUGAAGAUACCAACUUAUGAUUGGUGGAUUCUUGAAUAAGUUUAGUAUGUUUAAUAAAAGGAUUUUAGACCCGUAAAAAAAUAUUAUAUUUUGUUAAUAUUGCCUUUCUCACUUCUAAACCUUAUCUCACGAAAACGACAGAGAAAAUAACUGACAACGGAGGAUGAAUCAGUGAAUUCAAACGAAAUCGAUAAUGACGGCAAGGAGGAAGCAAGCAGGAAAAGAGAUAGCCGAUAGUGAGUUUUUGCUUUUCCAAUUUUGGUUGGUUUUAGUGUUUAGAGUGUGGCUUGAAUUUGAUAAGUGUGUUGGCGUGUUGCAGAGGUGGCACCAACGGAGGAAGGAUCGGUGAAUGAGAGGUUACCGACGCAUCUGUGUGCGACCAACCGGUUCCCGAGUAAGAUGAAUAACUAUUAUUCGUCGCUGGAGUACCAACUGCUGGUGAGGGAUGUGCUAGAAGGGACCGACGAGAUUGAGAGGCUGUUGGGUUCUUGCUUUGGACAAUAUUUUAGGUUAUCGGUGAGGAAGUGUACUUUCUCGACGGAGGUGCUAGACGAUGAGCAUGAUUCUUAGGUAACUAGUUGUACACCUGUACACACACUUAAGGCUGUACACGUAACAUGUGAUGUACAUAUAUACAUUAGAAACGUAGGUGUACAUCUGAUGUACAUGUAUACAUUAGGAACAUAGGUUUGCAUAUGUACAACUAAUGACCUAGUUACAUGCUUGUAUGGUUUGAGUGGAAGUGUGAUUUCGUUUUGGUUUGCCUUGUUUCAAUGGUUGCAGGCUUACAGCUGAUUGUGCAAUUUAUGAUGGAAUAUGGGGAGUACAAGGAGGAUGACUACGUUUUCAUGGUCUUAUUUUGAAGAUAUAGAUUGUUGUUUGUUCAUGGACAAAAGUCAUAAAUCUUCAUUUUUAUUAAUUACAAAAUUAUAAGCAUGUUAAUUUAUUUUAUAAAUCUUUUUAUUUUUAUUUUCACAACACUCGUUUAUAUAACCUUAAGCAUUUUAGUAAUGGAUCUUUAUAAAUAAAUAGUGUACAUACGGAAAUCGUAUAAAGUUGAUGUACACAUGGAUAUCAUAUCAAAUUGAUGUACACAACACACAUGUACAACAUAGACAUCAUAAAAGUGGUGUACACAUGGAUAUCAUAUAAAGUUGACGUACACAUAAACAUCAUAUUAAGUUACAUGUUCAGAAAAUCUUACAAAAAGUAAUUAUUAGUCUUUUUUGAAAUUACAUCUAUUGAAGUGAAGUUCUGCAACCAUUUUUAUUAUGCCAUUUUAUCUAUCUAUUUCAUACAGCUUUAUCAUUUUGUGUUUACAACUAAUUUAUUUUUCUAUAAAUAUGUAAAUCCGUGUACAAAUCAUUUUUAAUAAAUACAAUAAUUCUUAAAAAAGUAUCAAUCUGUUAAAUAAAAAAGUAACUAUUAGUCUUCUUGAAAGUUGAAUAUAUUGAAGUUAAAUUCUCUCAACCAUCAUUUAUUAUGUCAUAUCAUCUAUCUAUUUCAUGCAGCUUUAUCAUUUAUGUGUUUACAACUAAUUUAUUUUUCUAUAAACAUGUAAAUCCAUGUACAAAUCAUUUCUAAUGAGCACAAGACAAAAAUCUAGAAUAUUAACUUUUAAAUAUCAAAAGAGUAAUUAUUAGUAUUUCUUGAAAGUUGAAUCUAUUGAAGUUAAGUUCUCUCAGCCAUCAUCUGUUACAUCAGCUCAUCUAUCUCUUCCAUGCAUUUUAUCAUUUAUGUGUGUUACAACUAAUUUAUUUUCUAUAAACAUGCAAAUCUAUGUACAAAUCAUUUUAAAUGAAAACAAGAAAAAUCUAAAAUAUUGACUUUAAUUUAAAAUAUCAAAAGAAUAGUUAUUAGUCUUAUUGGAAGUUGAAUCUAUUGAAGUUAAGUUUUUUCAACCAUUAUUUAUUAUGUCAUCUCAUCUAUCUAUUUAAUGCAACUUUAUUAUUUAUGUGUUUACAACUAAAUUUAUUUUUCUAUAAACAUUUAAAUCUAUGUACAAGUCAUUUUAAAUAAACACAAGAAAAAAUCUACUCCAUUCGUUUCAGAGUAGAUGAUGGUUUAGAAAGUUUUGAUGUUUCAAAAUAGAUGAUGUUUUCAUACUUCAAUGUAUUUUUUAACUUUAUCAAAAACUGUGCAACCAAUCAUAUUUUGUAGUCUGUUUUGUCAUUGGUUAAAUAAUUUUUAAUUUAUAUUUUAAUGAUAUUAUUUUAGAUAAGAAACAAGUUUCUUAAUAGUUGUGUCUUAUCCUAAAAUUUCAUAUAUUUUAAAAUAGAGAGAGUAAAAUAUUAACUUUUAAAAUAUCAAAAGAGUAAUUAUUAGUUUUAUUGGAAGUUGAAUUGAUUGAAGUUAAGUUCUGUCAACCAUAAUUUAUUAUGUCAUCUCAUCUAUCUAUUUUACCCAGCUUUAUCAUUUACUAGGGUCGGUGUCCGCGCUUCGUGCGGAUUACAUGUUUAAUAAAAGUCCAGCUCAAUUAAAAUUGGGGGUUUUGAAGUUUCUGAAAGGGUAAGUUAUGUUUUGUUUAUUUUAUAAUGCGAAGACGUUAGAAGCGGUAAUCAUUUUUUUUAAAACAACAGUAAGUUUUAAUAAUAAAUUGUUUUGAGGAAUUCAAUAUUCGUAAGAGAAAACAGUAUUUCAGUGUGCCUAUUUAAUUGACGUAGGAAUCAGUAACGUAAAAUUUUUAAAAGUUGAUUGGUGUCGUUUGCUAUGAGGCUUAAGAUAGCAGUUUAUUCCUCUUUUGGAAGCGUUGUAUGAUACCAAUAUCGUUGUCAAAGUAGAAGCGCGAUCUAGGUGUGGUUGUGAGUGAUAGUUUUCAUGAAAAAGUCAAAUAUUUGUAAGCAUUUAUUUUGACAUAAACUUUAUGUUUAGUUUAUUACCUUCAUGUAACCGUGGAAUAAUACUUGUGAUGAUUACGAUUUGGUUUUUCCUGGUAUAUAUGUGAUUUAACUCCCUGAAAUUAGAGGCCUCCUUGUCCCAUAAAGUUAGACUUACCAAUUUCGAUCUACAAAUAAUUAUUGUAUUAUAUUUUGUUUAGUUGUAAACCAAUUGUUAUUUAAUAAAAAGUUAGUACCUGUCUAAACGCAAUCCAAUGGUGAUUUUUGAAUCUGUGUAGUGGUUAUAUAAAUCACUUCUUUGGAUGAGGUAUAUGCGGCCAACAACAUCUGUAGGAAUAAUUUGGUUUUAAGGACAAAAAUUUAGUGUUUAUUUGUAUGUGAGAGAGUUAUUGGUUUUUUUUUUACCUGGGAGGAAGUUGGUUGCAUUUGCUAAGCUGAUCAACUGGUGGUAGCGUUGGGGCCGGAAUAUGUAUGAAGGGAUCGGUUGAAUGUUUUCUUGAAUCAGUGUAAUAAUUGUUGUCUCAUUGAUAUUGAUUAUGUAUGGUUUAACGGUAAGCAUGUACCGUUGGUUAUUGGGAAGAAGAUUAAAAUAUCUAAUGUGAUAAAUUUUCCCUUCCUCGAAGCGUUGGUAGAUUGUGUCAGACGUAGAAAUAGACACCCUCCCUUCCAUUAUUUGUUCCUGUUUAGUGGUUAAAAACCAUCAUUUGAAAUGUAGUUUGAAUAAUUAAAAGUAAAUAUUUUUAAGACAAACCUGGAUGUCAAGACAAAUGAAAGUUGUUCAUAGGAAAGCAAUUUUAUUUUUGUGAUUUGUGAUGGGCCACAUCCUAAUGAUCCUAACGAUUAUUGGAUGCGGUCUGAGGGUGUCGCCCCAAUUGUUUUGAUAUUCUGCUGCAUGUUCUGCACAUAUAAGAAUGAGAAUUAUUUUGUAUUGCCCAUCUUUUAUUAAUUUCAUAUUUUUUUGAAGUGAACAUAGUUAUGGUUUGUUUGUUUUUUUUUUUAAAUUAUUAACAUGGUUAUUUAAAAAUUAAAGUAGGCCGGCCCAUAAUUAUUUGAAUGAGGUCGAAGCAUAAGUAACUGGAACUGGUAGUUGUAAAUUUGUUGGGUGCAUUUGAUAGUAGAAUUUAGUUUUUUUUUAGAAAAUUAUAGUGAUUGUGUGUGAAAUGAGGGGGUUGUGUUAUUUUGGACGGACAAUUUUAAGAUGAAAGAAAACUUAGCCGGUUCACACAUUGUUAAAGGAAACAGUAGAAAUAAUAAAUUGUCUGAAAAAAUAGAAAAUUCAAAAGAAAAUAGUUUGACAGUUGAAAUAAGUAAUUGUCCGAAGGAAAUAGUUUUACGAAGACGGUGAUUUGGGUUAAUGGGCUGGGCUGCGAGAUUUUUUUUUACCUGGCCCACCGGCAAAUCGUAGACAAACCGAGAUUUUUGUAAGCGACAACGAAGCCCAAAUCUUUAUUGCAAUUUUAAUUCGAAAUCCAAUCCGCUAGUGACAUGGCAGUUUGAUAGGUGGAUAAUAUUUUGCCUAUGUGGCACUUCUAGAAAAGCUAGGAUUUAGCUUCUUUUAUAUAGUAGGAUGUGUUUACACUAAUUUUUUUUUUAGAUACGCAACUUUAUGUUCAAAUCUUUUAAAUGAAUUAAAAAAAAUCUUAAAUCAAACCUUUGAAAUAUAGAAACAAUAACUAUUAGUUUUUUGGAAAUUGAGUCUAUUGGAGCUAAGGUGGUGUUAUUCAAUGGUAGAUUUCAAGUUAAUUCUUUAGGUUUUAUAGUCUAAUGUUAUUCAAUGAUUCAUUUUAAAUAUUUUACUGAAAUCUAGUGUUAUUGGUUCUUGUAUUUGAAAUAUUACUAUUAAAAAACUUUGAAAUCUAGUGUUAUUGGUUCUUGUAUUUUAAAUAUUACUAUUAAAAACUUUUGAAAUCUAGUGUUAUUGAUUUUUAUAUUUACAAUUCUCUCACUUAAAGAAUUUAAAAUCUAUUGUUAUUCAGUCAAAGAUUUGAAUAUAACAUUUAAAAUCCUGUGUUAUUCAAAUUUGAUGGAUUCUUGCAACUUAUUUGAUUUGAAAGAUUUUAACUGAAUUUGGAGAUAUAUAUAUUUUUUUAAACGUCAACUUUCAUUACUUAUAUCAAACUUACAUGAUCCAUAUGCAAGAAAGUAUGUAAAAAUUGAGGUACAUAAUAAUGAAAUUGAAAAACUAUUUGGAGAUAUUUUCAUGUGAAAAAUAGAUCACUCAAAAUCUAACCUUUUACCUACAGAUUUCAAAAACAUUUUUGUUAUUAUUAUUGCAAAUGAAUAGAUCGUGCCUUUACUAAUUAUUGUUCGUCAAGCAGCAACCCAGAUCUCUCUCACGUUUCCAUGUAUCUCACUUUCAUCCAUCCAAAUCCAUGUGUCUUUUUUGCAAUUAUCCAUCUUUCUCUCACAUUUGUCUUGCAAAAAUAGCUACGUGAGGAAUUUGAUUGUGUUUUUAAAAAAAUAUUUCUAUUGGUUAAGUCUCGUCAUGAGUUCUUCAAUAUAUUCACAAACUUCAAUAGGUAUGCUUUAAAAACUACAAGUCUACAACCAGUCUAUCUUUUUUCAUGCAACUCCAGAAGUUAUGCGUUUAAAACAACUAAUUUGUUUCUUUAUAAAUAUGUAAAUAAAUCUCUUUUCAAAUCAGUUUAAAUGAGUACACAGUCUUUCUAUUUUAUUCUCUCUAGUGUCUCCCUAUACUCUUGCUUCCGUAUCAUUUUCUACAUAGUUGAUAUUUUAAGCAAUGGUGGAUCAAUCUCUUCUUCCAGCCUCUUCUUCCAGGCUUCCACACUCACCUCGUAUACUACUCUCUUUUUCUUUUAUUUCUUCCCAAGAAAAGAAUGUCUACAACAUUGUUACUUGCUUAACUAUUUUGUAAUCUCGUUGCAUGUUUGGUGCAGAACAUUCCUGUAGCUUUCUUCUCGACGCACAUCAAAGGAAGAAACGACCACAUCAAGAUUGCGAAACUGAGAACAGAUGCGUCUGAUAAAACUUGGAAAGUGAAGAUGGACGGCUCGAAGUUCACUGAUGGAUGGGAAGAUUUUGCAGUUGCUCAUGAUCUCAGAGUUGGUGACAUAACCGUUUUCAGACAUGAAGGAGAAAUGGUGUUUCAUGUCACAGCUUUGGGACCAAGUUUCUGUGAGAUUCAGUAUACAUCAUCCCACAACAUCAAUGACGAUACUCAUGAUCAGACCAACAAUAUUGGUAUACUUUUUGUUCUAUAAAAUGUACUCAGAUUCUGAAGAAAGAGAUGCAAAUUUAUGAUUAUUUUAAAUUGUAUUACAGUUACAGGAAACAGUUCAAGAGAGAAGAGGAAAAGAGUGAAGAAGAAUCCGAAACCAGUUCCACAAGCUUCAUUACACAGUUCUUGUUAUGUGGGAUCUGUCAGUGCGUCUAGCCUGAAACAUAAUAAGCUGGUGAAUACAAAACUUUGGUUUAUUCCUUUAUUUGUAUAUUUAUAUGCAUUGUGUGUUUGACUCUUGUGUAUAACGUUGGCGUUUUACAGUAUCUUGGGAGGGAGUUUGUGACUUCAAAUGGUCUAAACAAAGGAUGCAGUGAGAUAGUUUUAAAGAAUGAAGGUGGAGGAAGAUGGACUUUACCUUUGAAACAUUACAAAUCAAUCAACCAUACUUAUCUAGGACCAGGCUGGACCACAUUCUGUCAAGUAAACGGGAUCAAAGCUGAAGAUGCCUUCAUGUUUAAACUGGUUAGAACCGGGGAGAAGCCUGUUCUUUGUUUGUGCCCUGAAGAAUCAUCCCACCGUGACAAAACGCCAGUAGAGUGUCUAGAAGAUAGUGAUGAUGUGAAUCCUCUCUCCUCUAGUAGCAAGUCCAAAGAAAGUAAAGAGGAGAGUCUUGGAGACAAGAGAGCUUCAUCUUCAUAUAGUGAAGACCGAUUUUUGACAUUAACUCUUACACAAAAAGCUGUUAAACGCUAUCAACUGGUGAAGAUCAUAAACAAGUCUGCUUUAAGGUUGUCCCUUAUACUUGUUAGAUUUAGUGCUAAAAUCAAAUCUUUGUGCAGUUUCUUCCGAUGGGUUUCGGGAAGAGGAAUGGCAUCAACAAGCCAGGGAAGAUAACUCUGUUGGGUCAAGAUGGAGUAAAACAAGAGGUGGCUCUUAAGCAGAACAAAAGAGCUGGACAAAUGCAAAUUGGAAAAGGUUGGAGAGUGUUCCGUGAUGCUCAUGGCCUAAAGAUAGGACAACCCUUUGUUUUGGAACUCAUUUGGGAGGAUGAAGCAAGCCCCGUACUUAAGUUCUGCACAAAACAUUGAAACUUUUGUUUCCAGAGAAGAUUCCUGGUCUACUUGCUACUUGCUAUGCAUUAUUUAACUUAUCUGUCAAGUUUCCUUUAGCUGCAGCAGAUUGUUGGCUUCUUGACUAGAUGUAUGUCUACUUAUCUGAAUCUUGUUGUGAAUUCAAGAAAGAUUUAGAACUUUACUGCAACAAGGUUUUUUUCGAUCUUACACCACUAGUGUGUAGAGCAAGGCAACGUUCAUCUUUUAGUUGGUAACCUUUGAGAAACUGAAAUAUCACCACUUGGUGCAUCAAGAUCCCUUUUAAGACAUCCUUCUCCUCCUGGCUACAAGAAGAAAUAAGUCUUUUAGUUUCUUAUCCCAAUAUAAAAUGUGAGAACAGAGUAACUAAACUAUGAGAUCAUUUGUUAGCUGUUAAUGCACGGACCAAGUUAUGGGAGAACAAUGAUGAGAUUUUAAGUAAGUAAUAAUGAUCCUUAUGUUAACAAUGUGAAACAUGCACUUCAGAACCAGUUUGAUAGUAGCAUGAUAAGUUUAUAACUCCGAUCUUCUUUUUUGUAACUCAAACCCCAACUUAAUCACUCAAACCCACUUGAAAAUGUUAUACAAAGAAAGAUAGAUAAUACACUCAGAACAAUCCAAACUAACGACUACACUGAAGACGUUAAACCUGUGCACCGCAAGAGUCGUUUUACUUUGCAGAAUCAAUACCAAUCUCUAGACGUCGAUAACUCAGCAGACAUGUGUCAAUGUAUAUCUCGUCAUAUUUAUGAAUUUCAAAUAUAUAUAUAUAUAUAAAAAGGAAUUUCAAAUAUAUAUGUGUAUAUAUAUAUAUUUUUUUUUCUUUUUUUUUUUGUAGAAUUAGAGAAUAUGAAUAUAUUGUUGUGUUUUGAUGAGAGUUGUAUAUAUACAAAAACCAUAGACCUAUCUCUUUUAGGAAUAUAAUUUAUCUAAAUUUUAUGUCAUAUAUAUAUGGACUUCAGAUAGUUGGUCCCAAGAUACACAUUUUGCUAUCUAAUAUAUCUCAUAUAGUCUUUUACCAAAAAAAAAAAUAUAUAUAUACAUAUCUCAUAUAGUUUUUCAUACUCACAAGAUUGCCAAGAUAAAGUUUCUGGAAAAGAGAAAAGAUAAAAGUAAUCAUUUCAAAAGAUUCAAGAGGAAGACGACAAGUCUCAUAAAGCUUUCACCUUUAUCAAAAGUGAAUCCACCAUUCUGUUGCUCAGCAUAUAUAUAUAUAUAUAUUUUCAGUGAUUUAUUGAGAUAUUCUCUUGACGGGUUAAACAAUGAAGGAUCUAUCUCUUCACUCUCCAGUCAAACCACACUUCUUCCAGCCUCUUCUUCCCGGCUUCCACACUCACCUCGUACUACUACUCUCUUUCGUUUCAAGAAUACAACAAUGUUCCACUUGCUUAAUCUUAUUCCUUGUUUGGUGCAGACCAUUCCUGUAGCUUUCUUCUUGAAGCACGUCCAAGGAAGAAACGACCAUAUCAAAAUUGCCAAACUUACAACAGCUGCGUCCGACAAGACUUGGACAGUGAAGAUGGACGGCUUGAAACUCACCCAUGGAUGGGAAGACUUUGCAGUCGCGCAUGAUCUCAGAGUUGGUGACAUGAUCGUUUUCAGACAUGAAGGAGAACUAGCGUUUCACGUCACAACAAUGGGACCAAGUUGCUGCGAGAUUCAGUAUACUCACAACAUCAAUCAUAAUCAUACCAACAACAUCAUUGAGUCUUCUUCAUCAGAUAAUUCUCUUUUUGUAGCAAAAGUCUCAGCCUCGAAUCUAAGAUUAGAUCGACUGGUUAGAUUAAGCAAAAUAUAUCUUAAUAAUAGCUUUACUUAUGUUAUAUCUGAACUGGUUUAAUCACAUUCUGUGAUGGCAUUGUAGUAUUUGCCAAUGAGCUUUGCGAGGACAAACGGUUUGGACAAAAUGAGCGGUGAGGAGAUCAUUCUUCUUAACGGAGAAGGAAGAUCAUGGAGUUUAAAAUUGAAACACGACAAGUCAGACAUGCAUACUUUUGUCAGACCUGGUUGGAGAAGAUUCUGCGCUGAAAAUGGGAUGAGCCAUGGUCACUAUACAUUGAAACUCGUCCGAAACUCUGGACCACCGGUUAUUAAGUUGUGCGGCCAAGUGCAUAAUCGACCAAAACCAGUUCCAGUAGUAUCUUCAUUACACCAUUCUUGUUUUGUGGGAUCUGUCACUUCUAAUAGCCUCAAAACUGAUAAACUGGUGAAUACAUAAAACAUCAUUAGUGAUUAGUCUCUCACAAAGAGUAUCUUGAUAUUAUUAUCAAUAUUUAUAGUAAUUUAGUUUUAUAAUUACAUUUUAAUCUUAAAAGAAAUAGGUGUAUCAAUUAGAAGCUGACAUGUGUGUAGUUAGUCUCUUAAGAUAUAUCUAAAGUUUCUUGGGGAAGAAUCGAUUCUUCCUUUUAACAUCAUUUCUUUCCUACUUUUUGUCUUUUUAAUAAUUUUUUAUGCUAAGAAACUUGUUUGGAGACCAUCACUGCGGAUGGCCUAAAGUCACACUAUAGUUUCACACAUAGUGUGUUUGAGUCGUUUAUAUGAUGUGGUGUUUUUGCAGUAUCUUGGGAAGAAGUUUGUGAUAGAAAAUGGUCUAGAUAGAGGAUGCAGUGAGAUGGUUUUGAAGAAUGAAUGGGGAGGAAGAUGGAGUUUAGCUUUGAGAUUCUAUGAAUCAGCCUACCAGACUUAUCUUGGACCAGGCUGGAGAACUUUCUGUCAAGUAAACGAGAUCAAAGUUGGAGAUUCCUUCAGGUUUAAACUGGUUGGAACAGGGGACAAUCCUGUUCUCUUGUUGUGCACUAGAAAAACGCCAUUAGAAUGUCCAGAAGAGAGUAGUGGUUCAGAUACUAGCAGCGGAGAUGAUAGUAGCGAACCCCAAGAAAGUGAAGAGGAGAGUCUUGGAGACAAGAACAUAUCACAGUAGUGCGUUAAGAUGGAGAAAAAUGAAGAAUUUCUAGAGAUGCAGAACACCAAACGAAAGCCUCUUUGAGAGAAGAAGCUUGCUCAGCAGUAUUCUCUUGCUAUCCGUCAACUUUCUUUUAGCUGAAUAACUCAGAUUCGCAGCACUGUGUUGACUGCAUUUCUCUUGUUGUUUCAAUCUAGAUGUCUACUCAUUUAGAAAGGGCUGCCUUUGAUUAUUUAGAAGUUUCUAAUUUCUUAACUGAAUAAUCUUUUGCCCCAUCAAGACAUUGAUAUACUUUGGCUUUUGAGUAUAUGUCUGAUUGUCAAGUAAGGAGUGGGGGUGCGUGUGUUGAGACUUGAGAGCAUUUGAGUUGAUUGUUGAUUAGUGAGACCACGGAGGGGAUUUAACUUUUUGGAAGUUGUACUUUAGAUAGCGUUACAAUUCUGUUUGAUCUAAGACAAUUUAAUUGUUAGUGAUAUUUUGUUUUAGUAAUGAUUAGUGAUUUAGUGAGAAGUGAUUCACGCACAUUGAUCAAUCAAAGAGAGAUUCAACAACUAAAAGAAAGAUCGAUUUUUUGGGGGUCUGGAUCUCCUGCGGGAAUUAUUUUGAAGAUCCAAAACCAAAAAAAAAUAGUAUUUACUAGCAACACCGUAAGAAAAAAACUAGAGAAAUCUAUAAAGAUUGAAUUAGACCUCAACGGGGUAAUUGGUGAGUUCGCUCCCAGAAAUAUAGCUACCCCUACCUUCUCAUGUCAAUCCCACAAGCCUCUUAUCCAUUCUUAUUCGAUCACAUCAAGGAAGCUUGUAAGUGAGAAUAAAUCAAGAGGAAGUUUUGCUGUAGUGAAUUAGGCUUCUUUUAACAUUCCAUUAGACAAAAGUGGGCAUAUUAAAGAGAAAAAAGUGGGCAAAGGACCAAGAGAAGUUAGAAACUACUUAUUUUCAGCCCAAAAAAUGAUUAUACAUGUAACUAAACUAUCAGUAUAAUUUAACUCUCAUGAGAAAAAAAAAAUACCCAAUGGCUUGUAUUGAAUUCACUGGUAUAUAUUUUCAUUCAGACUACUAGAUUAUUUUUUGUUGGUGUUACACAUGCAACAUGCAAAUUUUUCUUACGUGUGUCCAGGGCCGGGUCAACAAUUUUUGGGCUCAUUGGCAAAAUGUUUUUUAGUAAUUUUGAAAACUCAAUAGGUGAAAUUCAUGUAAUUAAUUAAAGUAUUUCACUAUUUCUAUGAAAGUUCUACAAUAAACCUAGCUUUUUAAAUAUUUAAACUAAGUUUAGCUAAAAUUAUAUUUAUAUCUUAAUUUUGUGUGUUAUCAAGAAAAUUUUAAGUUAAUCUGUUUUAAUAUAAAAAUAAAAUUUUAUAUCACAAAUAUUCUUGGGCCAUGGGGCGGUAGCACUUACCGCUCUACCUUCUAAGAGAAUUUCCCAUCCAACUUCAAAUUCUCAAAUUUUGAGAUUUUGUCCCAUUCUAACUCAACUUCAAAUCUUCAAAUUUUAAAGUUCUAAAUAGUAAAACUUCAAAUUUGAGUUUUUACUAUUUAGAACUUCAAAACUAUCUUUUAUUUUUUUUGGUCCUCAUAAUUAUUUCUUUACACAAAUAUAUAUGCUAAGCUUAAUUUAUAAUAACUUAAGUACACCAAAAUAAAAUAAAAUAUAAUAAAUAUUAUGUAACAUUAAAAUAAAGCUCACAAAAUAGAAAAUAAAUUAAAUAAAGCUCACAAAAAAUAAAAAUACAUUCCAUAUGUAAUAAAAUUACAAAAUAAAAAUAAAAAUACAGAAAUAAUGCUUGAGUAUUUGGUAUUAUGUAUGUAUAUAAGUUUCUAAAAUUUGUGUGUGUGUGUGUGUGUUUUGUUUUAUUAUACAUGUAAUUUAUAUUAUCUUUUAUUAUAUAAUAUUAUAAUAUUAUGUGUUGUAUAAUAUAUUAAAUAUAUGUUUUAUAUGUAUUUGUGUAGUCUUAUCAUUAUUAGUUAAGCUUUACGCGCGGGUUGAAUAGUGCUCACUAGGCUUACUAGAUCAGCUUUCACCUGACUUUAACAAUCCUAGCUCAAUUAGGACGGAUUCAAGGUGAGAUUCAAGUGUUAACUUGUGCCUACAACUCCUAGGUCAAGGUUCUAGCUAGCUAAACUAGAAACAUGCAUUAAUGACAAUCCUAAUGAUGAAUAUCACAACUUAGCAAUCUAUAGUUAUGGCUAAUCCCUCAUAACCUAUUUAAACCCUAAACCUAACAAUCAAACUACUCAGACAUAGCUAAGUAAUUCAUAACAACAAUAAAGUAUAAAAACUAUAUAGAUAGAUAAUAGAUAAUAUAUAAUAAUGAAGUUCCAAUCACAAAUCUCUCUGCAUCUUCUCUCCAACUCUACUAAAAUCCUAAAAAACCUUUUGGUGUGAAAACUAGAAAACAAGAAAUCACACAUUGCCUAAAACAUGUUUGCAAACUAUAAAUAUUAGGUAAAAAACUAGUCAGAGGUAAUCUUGUAAAUUGGUGAAGUUUUGGGCUCUAAGUUGGCUGGAACCAAACAGGCUUCUGCGCGAUUCGCUGUCGAUCGAUAUUACAAGGUGUGCAUCGAUCGAUUAUUAUCUCUAAAUGUCGACCAUUGGUCUUGUUCGAUAGUCAGCUCGGAUGCUUUCUCCAAUUAUCUCUAAAAUGCUAAAAAAUUAUCAUUUUUUUUCCAAAUCACUCCUGGUUCUAUAAAUAUAGUAAAUCAACUCUAAAACAUAAUAAUUAGUUAUUAAAACACUUAUAAACUAUGGCUAAAAGUGGGUAAAAUCCAUGGCAUAUCAAUCACCUAACACUGACAUACGAUUUUCAUAGCUAUAUGAUUCGUUCUAUGGAGGAAGAGUUCCAAAAGAUUGUUGGUGUUAUGUGAGUUACAUCUUUUCGGUAGAAAAAUAGUGUGGCGCGUCUUGGUAACUUUAAAGUAAUCGAAUUAUAAAGCGUACCUCCUCUCUUGUUCCAAGCUUAACUUGCUUUCAUGUCACACUUGUAUUUUUUUUCUAUUCAUCCAACAUAUAAGCCAAUUUUUUUUGGUUCACUCAUAUAAGCCAACUUAUAUCACAAAUUUUCUUGUGUAGAGAGUAAGUGAUACAUUAUUCACUGAUGAAAACCUUUUUGUGAUCUUUUGCAGCGGGCCACUUUGGGGUUUGGUUGCUUUUUAACAUCAAAGGUAUGCUUACUAUACACUGAAAACAAAACUAAUGCAAAGUACUUUCAUUCUAUUUUUUUCUGAAGAAAAUUUAAACUCGUUAUAGUGGUCAUGCAUGCAUGCUUAGAAGUUCUUCAAUUCUAAUUUUAUGCGUUAGAAAACGCAAACUCAUUAAUGGUCAUGCAUACAUGCAUGAUUAGUAGUUCUUGUAAUUCUUAUUCGAAUUUUGUUGCUAAUUUUAUCUUAUUUGGUAUUGAGUAUAGUCUUCUACUACAGUUGAUUUUUACUCUUUUAUGAAUGUUUUAAGAGUUUCUUUGGUCAUGAUAAUGCAUAUAGGAUCGAAUCUUUAUUUCUGGUUAGCGAUAAUUCCAAUCACUGUAAGAACUAUUUCUCCAUUUUUGUUUUUCUUCUCUUCUAUGGAAAAUGAGUCUUUUAACAUCUCCCUGUUGCACUUUGGUCACGUUACCUCAAAGGGUAAGAGAGACAAUUAACGGUUGGGGAAAAGCAACCCGAAGAAAAAGACAGCAUGGGUUAUAUGGCGAUGAUUCGACUAUAAGAACCGAAACAAGCACAGUCGCAUCUGUUGAAGAAUACGAUCAGUUCUUAAUGUUCCUGAAACCUCUCCAGCUCAAUGUACUGAGCAUGAUAUGCAGCUUCUUCGGCAUUGGGAAGAUUCUAUCUCAGUACCUAAUGAAACAGAUAAGUGUAAAUAAGCCAUGACGCCGUUAAAAUACAGAAACAACAGAAUCACGUCCUCAUUGCCAGUGAAAAGAUAAUGCUAUAAGCUAGAAAAUUAUUAGCAGAAUCACUUUCAAAAUUUUGUUUUCAGAUUGUUUGUCUUUUAUAAUUAAUAAAUGUAAUGAUUUGAAAAUAUACUGUUACAUAAAACUUGUAAAUGUUCAUAUUUGUAUCUAUACUAUUAUUUGCGAAGUAAAUUUUUGGAAUCGAGUUCUUACGUUAAAAGUUAUAGUGGUUAAUAUCGUUUAUACCCUUAAUGAAUAAAAUGUAUAACUAAACUAAAAAAUAAAAAACGAAAUUUUAAGUUAUUUGAUUCGAUAAUUGAUUAAAAUUAAUAAUAGUAAGAGUUAUCCAACAUCUGAAAAUAUAAUUUUAAAAGAGAUAAUUUCUGUAUAUAUUGUAGUGUUAUAUGAAAAAGUCUUUUAGUAAAAAGCUAAAAACAUGAAUUAUAUAUAAAAAUUAAAAAAACAUGACUAUAUAACUAAUUAUUAAUCAAAUAAAAUUCUUAAUUAUAUAAUUAAAAUAGAGUAUUGAAUCAUCCAAAAUNNNNNNNNNNNNNNNNNNNNNNNNNNNNNNNNNNNNNNNNNNNNNNNNNNNNNNNNNNNNNNNNNNNNNNNNNNNNNNNNNNNNNNNNNNNNNNNNNNNNUUGAAAACUCCUAACAUCAAAUUGGCGCCGUUGCCAAAUUCUGAGUAGAUUUGAACAUUGAGAUUUAGUCACUUGCUUGAGACUAAGUCAUUUUUAUUUUCUUUUGUUACUGAUUCUCUUUCUUCACCUCCCUUUAAUCUACAGGUGUAUGAACUUGAGGAGCAGGGGUCCAUCAUACCUAGUUCCAAUAGCUGCAGACAUCAGAGCUUUAGAGAGAGAGUGUGCUAGAAAUAGAAGAGAAGAAGAGCAACAGGCUCUCUUGCAGAGAUUGAGUACUGAUAUGGGAGACAUACCUCAAAACCAACAGCGAGCAGCUCGACCCAUUGGCACUUACGACUGCCCCAACAUUCAUGGUCAUAGAUUGGGAAUCCGAGCACCUGCUGUGGCAGCCAACAACUUUGAGAUCAAGUCAGGACUCCUCAAUGUGAUCGAGAACAACAAGUAUCAUGGCUUGGCACUAGAAGACCCAUUUGAUCACUUGGACAGGUUCGACAGCUACUGUGGGUUGUCAAAAACCAAUGGUGUGUCCGAAGAUGCCUUAAAGCUCAAGCUAUUCCCUUUCUCUUUGGGAGAUAAGGCACGUCAGUGGGAGAAGUCUCUACCCAGCGACUCCAUCACCACUUGGGAUGACUGCAAGAAAGCAUUUUUGGAGAAGUUCUUCUCUAUUUCAAGAACUGCUAAGCUGAGAAGCAAGAUUUCCAGCUUUCAACAGAAGAACUUGGAAAGUUUCAGUGAAGCCUGGGAGAGAUUCAAGGGCUACCAAGCUCAAUGCCCACACCAUGGCUUCUCUAAGGAGAGCUUGCUGAGCACAUUCUACCGUGGUGCUCUUCCUAAGUACAGAGCCAGACUGGAUACAGCUAGCAAUGGGUUCUUCUUGGGGAGAACUGAGGAAGAUGCAGAAGAGCUGGUUGACAACAUGGUAAAGAGUGAUGCAGUCUACAGGGGAGACCACGACAGAGGUAGUAGAACAGAUGAUAAGCAGACGAGGAAAGAGAUCAAAGCUUUGGAAGACAAGAUCGACCUACUCAUUGCUGAAAAAGCAAUCCAAGAGCAGCUGAAGUUUGUUGGUAACUCCAAGCAGGAAGAUCCACUUGCUGUCAAUGAGGUUGAGGGUUUGGAAGGUCAAGAGGAGUUGUGUUUCAUUAACAACAAUGGUAGCUGGUACAAAAAGGAGCCCAACUUUCAGUACAACAACUACCAACAGAAAUCCUAUCCAAACAACCAACAGAGUGGUUAUCCGCCAAGAAACAACCAGCAAGGCAGCUUUCAGCCUCAGCAAAACCCCUCGUCUGGUUCCUCUGCUCCUCAAGAGAGCAGCACUGAUACCUUACUGAAACAAAUCUUGGAGUCUCAGACUAGAAGUGAGAAGCAUGUUGGUUAUGAGUUGAAGAACCUUCAUACCAAGAUUGAUGGGAGCUACAAUGAGCUCAACAACAAAUUCUCACACCUUGCUUCUACAGUCAGGAAUUUAGAGAAUCAGUUUGCUUCCAUGAACACUCACCAGAAUCGCCAGCAAGGAUCUCUACCUGGAAAGUCUGACCAAAACUCCAAGGAGGCCAAAGCUAUCACCCUUAGGAGUGGUAAGCAGUUACCUCCUAAAACCCUCACCAAGGAUGCUGAGAAACUAGGUGAGGGGGUUGCCAUCAACAUAGAUGAUGAAGUGGUGAUUGUUGAUGAGAAGAUCAAUGACGAGAUCUUGGAAAAGAUAGUGGAAGCCAAAGGUAAAGGAAAGGUUGGAGAGGAGAAGAAGACAGUAAAGGAUGGUGAAGUUGUUACUCCAGCAAGUGAAAGUUCUUUUGUUCCUCCUCCCUAUGAACCCAAACUUCCAUUCCCUGGUAGAUUCAAGAAGCAGCUGCUAGAGAAAUACAAAGCUCUGUUUGAGAAGCAAAUGAGUGAAGCUCAGGUUGCAAUGCCCAUCAUCGAUGCUUUCAUGUUGAUUCCUCAAUACAACAAUUUCCUGAAAGAUGUUGUAGCUGCAAAGAAGAAGGAGAUGGAAAGCAUGAUGAAUCUUACCCAUGAGUGCAAUGCCAUCAUCCAGAGGCUUGAUGUUCCAGAGAAAUUAGAGGAUCCAGGAAGCUUCACACUACCUUGUGCUCUUGGACCUAUGGUAUUUGAGAAAAGUCUCUGCGAUUUGGGAGCUAGUGUCAGCUUGAUGCCUUUGUCUGUUGCAAAGAAGCUUGGAUUCACUCAGUACAAGAAGUGUAGACUCUCUCUGGUGUUAGCUGAUCGUUCAGUGAAGUACCCUGUGGGCAUCUUAGAGGACCUCCCUGUGAAGAUUGGAAGGUAUGAGAUACCUACAGAUUUUGUGGUGCUUGAGAUGGGUGAGGAGGCUCAAGAUCCAUUGAUUCUAGGAAGGCCAUUCUUAGCUACAGCAGGAGCUAUUGUUAAUGUGAAGGAAGGCACGAUUGAUCUCCAUUUGGGUAAAGAGAACAUCCUCCACUUUGACAUCAAGAGGAAAAUGAGGAAACCAACUGUGUUCGGGCAAGCCUUCUACAUUGAAGAGAUGGACACCCCUGCUGAUGAGCACCUUGAAGAGUUACCACCUGAGGACGACGAGGAGGGAGCAUCUCCCUCUACUCAUUCCCUAUAGAAGGUAACCCACCACACUCCCUUGUAUAUACCAUUUCAUUUUUGCAUAUUAGUCUUCUUUUCGGUAUCUCUCUCUCUACUUGACGACACAGAGACUGUGUCACUCAAGUUUGGGGGAGGUACCAAGUAUUUGAUCAUGUUUGCUUUGAUGUUGUUUCAUUGAGUCAUGCAUGGCAUACCUAUUUAAAAGCCUCUAGCUCAAGUUUUGAAAGUCUUGGCCCCCAGCCUAAAAAAAAAAAAAAAAAAAAGGAAAAAGAAAAAAAAAAAAAGAAAAAAAAAAGAGAAAAGAAAAAGAAAAAAAAAAAAGAAAAGAAAAAGGGGCUAGCAAAGUUGUUAGGAGCUAAGAAAUAUUUUGAGGUUCUGAAAAAAAUCCCUUGUAGAUUUCAAGGAGAAGGAGUUAAAGUUCUUAGGAUCUUUUGGUGAGAGAUGAGAGUUGGGUUUGACAUUUGGGAAUGAUUGUGUAAUUGUAUGUUUGGGAAAAGGGUAGAACAAUGGAGAUUGAGCAUUGUAAGCAUGAGUUGAUCUUUUUCUUAGAUAUAUUAUGUGCAAUGUCAAGUCUACUUGUUUCGAGAGUAAACCACCUUAAAGAUCAUAUGUUUUGAACCUCUUGAAUCACUUGAAUAAAAACCUUCUCUUACCCAACCAAAUGAUUUGGACCAACUGACCAUUUGCAAGAAUUCACCUAAUGUUUUGUGCUUAAUGAAUGUGAGAGUUGGUUGAUUUGAAUGUGUGGAUGCUUGAUGAUGAGUGUAAGAGCAAAAAGAGUUGAGAUAGGCCUAGAGAAGCUAGAGUGUAAUAAGAGAGUGUGCUAGUUGUGUUUCUUUUGGCUAUGUGCUCCCACCUUCAACCUCUCUCCUUAUGAGUUCUAGAAAGUUCACUUGUGGACAAGUAAAAGAACAAGUUUGGGGGAGUUGAUAUCUUGCAUAUUUACAUUGUUUUAUCCAUUCAUCCAUGAGCAUUUUCAUCAUAUAGAUUAGGAUUUAGCCAUGUCUAGGUUGCAUUUUGCAUUCAUUGUCCUUAUUAGGUGUUGGAGUGUGCCAUGGAGUGAUUUGAGAUGUUUGGGAGCAUUGUGAUCCAAAAGGAGGUGAAAGAUGAGCAUGGAUGGAGCCUUUAGAGAAAUCUCCUGUUGCUAAGAUUUUGUGGAGACACAGAAAAUUGAGUUAGCUUUCUAAUGGAAGUGGUUUCAAGUCAUUUGGAGAUGUAAUGAAGGAGUUAUGAUCAAUUUACUAGAGGCAUAUCCAUCCUGGUCGAGCAUCGCAGAGUGACCUCUCAGAGCGACCUACCGAGGUCGCUCCCAGCCAGAGCGACCAGCCAGAGCGACUAGCUCAAGUCACUCCCAGCCAGAGCGACCAGCCAGAGCGACCAGCUCAAGUCACUCGCGUUUUGACGCGCCGAGACACGAAAAAACGCGUCGGGAGUGACCUCCUGGAGCGACUAUGCUAGGUCACUCCGGGUGUUUUGCUUGGACGAUUUUUUAUGUUAUUUCAGGGACCUUUUGGUCAUUUGUUUUGAUGUUUUACACUUUCUAAACCUAAGUUAAGUACUUUUGUAAGCCAUUGGAGGCAAAAUAAUCUCUUUUCUAGAGGAGAACUAGUAAAAAACCUCUUUUGAUUCAGAUUUCAUUGCUUUCAUCUUGUGUUCUUGUUGAAUUCUUAUCUAUUUCUCUACAUGGUUAAUCUAGAAUCCAAUAUGGGUUUAAGAGGAAUCAUGGAGAUUAGUGAGUAAUCACCUUUUGAAUUCAUGGGUUAGGGAGAUUAAGGGUGAUUAGGUUAGUUCUAGGAUGUUUUAGUGUAGAUCAUUCUUGUUCCUUGCUAGUAGAGUAUUCAUAAUGCAUCUUCUGAGUUGGCCACUCAAAAGUUGAUCAAUAGAUAUUUCCCACCCAAAAGGUGUUUGAUGAAAUGCCUGAGACAACUCUCCUAGGCUUUUAGUAUACUUUGCCAAAGACAUUUGUUGUUAAAGAUGCUAAGAUAGCUAAUAGACUUGUUAGUAAUGAUUGCUUUCAUAUUAUUCAACCAAAGACAUUUGAUGUUUGAGAUAUGUUAGCAAAUGAGCAUUCAUCUAGACAUAGAGCUUGCUUAGAAUUGUGUCUAGGCUUAAGGUUGAUAGUUUGAUUGAUCAUUUGCCAUCCUUAGUUCGAUACUUGAUCACCCAAGGUCUAAUCCCUAUGCCCAUGAGUUCUCUUUUCCCUUAGUCAAGAAAGUAUCAUUCUGUUAUUGCUUUCUAGUUUAGUAGUAGUUUAAAACCCAUCUAAAUCAUUGGUUGCACUUAGAUUAAGUGAGUACUUGCAUUCUCAGUGCUUUGAUAUCCCUCAGAACUGGUUCGACAAUCUUCUAUACUACAACAUUUGUCUUAGGAGCCUUGAAAACUCCUAACAUCAGACUGAGGCCGAGAGAAGACCGGUGCGUGAUCGGAUCCUUUGAGCUCAAAAACCUUUUCAGGCGGGCUCAAUUUGUGUUCAUUGCCUCCUGAAGAGGAACCGAUACAGCGUAAUCCUUCAUGGUUUUUAUGUAGAACACGUGAAGCUUUUCACCAACCGGUGCGAACGGGAUGGGUCUUAUGUAUACCGAUGCCAAUGCAAUGUCCUAUACCAAAAUGAAAGAUUAGAUUCACUAAUCAACCGAAUUGUAACGGUUCGGUUUGUAUUUACCUUUGGAGGGCUCUGAUUAAAUAUAAUUUUUUUUAAGCAAAGAUCUGUCGAAAUCAGCGGCGGUUGGAGGGUCUUUUUGCCGUUGGCGUACAAGAAGAUCUGAGCUUGUUGCAUCAGAUCAUUUGAUCCCAGCUAAAAAAUAUAAUGAAUGCAAUUAAAAAAGAGGAUGAUGAGCAGAAGACAAAAUAAAGUAAAAUGAAAAAUGUACCUUUUGAUUAAAGAGAUCAAGAGUGCUUUGACCAUUAGCCAGCAUAACAGCAGAGAUAAAGACAGCUUUAGAGAUUUUAGUAGGAAACAUCUCCAUCGCAUAAGACAUACAAUACAAGCCCCUCCAAAAUCAUGCCUCAUCAAGAUCACCUGUAUUAUUUAUGUAACAUGUUAUGGUCUUAAAUUAAACAUGAUCUAACCAGUACUGGAUCUAACUGUUGUAAUUAAUGCUCAAAAAAAGGUUGGCAGUAGAUGGUGACGUUGUUGGUGUCAAUAGAGCUAACACCAGAACCGGUUAAGUCACGGCAUCUACUUGAAAACCAUGUUUCUCCAAGAGUGUUAUGGUUUUGUACCAACACCAAACCCCGACGACGCCUCCACCAUGAACCAGCACGAACCGCUUCGUCUCUGUUAGUGUUUUAUCUUGAUUAUAUCUAUACGAUUUCGACUGAGAAGUUGGUUCGCGUUGUAUCUCUACUUCAGUUUGAUCGAGAAAAGUAAAACGCAAUCAACACGAGAAUUGUUUACCCAGACUUCGUUGCCUACUGUCUGGGGAGAGAUCAAAACUCUCAAGCAAUCACUAGCUCAGAAUCAAUACAAAGACUCGGUUUCUUUCUACACAAGUAAACGGAUCUCACCGAGUGACAAGUGCAAAGAUAACCUCUGAAAUACACCACCGGUAAUCAGAUACUCCUUUGGCUAGACCGGGAGCAGCUCUUCACCGUCUCCGUCGCGAUCGUUGCCGAGAUAAGUCUCUUUCUCUCUCUGAUUCUGUUUCUCUAGUUCGUUAGCCUCUCUAACAAACUCUCAUCUCUCGAUGAUGAUGAUGACGAUAACAUAUCCUCAUUAAAGGAAACUGUGUCGUUUCUGCUAAUGGGUUCUGAACCUUUUCCUUGCAGGUGUAGCUGAUGGGCCUCGACACAGGCCCAAGUUCUAAAACCAGCUUGGAUGAGACGACAAACACUCACAAACUCCACCUUUGUUGGUUCUCCUGUCUGAAGCUCCACCUCUCUCCUGCGAUACGAAGCCCUAGCCCCUUUCACCUUUGAUGAAAAAACUCCACCGAAACCAAUCAGUUUCCUGAUGAUCCAUCUCCAGUCCUCUUCUCUUUGACUUAAACCAGUCAAACGCCUCAACUUUUACCACCGAGACUUAGAAACAUGUAGACCUAAAUCCCGCUCUACCUUCUUCUUCCUUUUCCACAUAAACCCGUGAAAAACCUUAUCCUCCAUCUUAACCCUUUCAGAUUAUUGACAGAAAAUUUCAAGGAACCAAGCUCCGACUCUCCAUACACCCCUCACACGAAGAACUUGAAUCUCCAUCAGAUCUUCUGUAUGCAUGUGUAAGACGCCUUCUUUGCUUCCCCCUUUUUUUUUUUUUUCUACUCGUACUUCACCACACGAGUUGAAGUCGAUUCGUUUUUAAUUCUUCUUUAUCUUCGAGGUAACUCAACCGACAAAACUACCCCGAGCUCCACCUCAACCUAUCAGGCGAGGACUUUGGCCAACUCCAGACACUUCUGAAAAGCCGGACCAGGUAAACACUUAGUCAAGAAAUCAGCUGCAUUUAGGGUAGUAUGCACCUUGAUUAGGUUAACAGAACCCUCGUGGACCUUGUCUCGAAUGAAAUGGUACUUAGUAUCCAUAUGCUUCGUUCUGCCAUGAUGAACUGCAUUUUUAGCUAGACAUAUAGCACUCUGUGCAUCACAGUAUAGCUUGUAACUCUUAAAAUUGAACCCCAAUUCACCGCAAAUCAUCAUCAACCAUUUACCUUCCUUAGCUGCUUCAGUGAGAGCCAUAUACUCAGCUUCUGUGGUUGAUAACGCAACUACAGACUGCAGUGUGGCUCGCCAACUGAUAGUAUUCCCCCCAACUUGAAAAAGAUAGGCUGAAACUGAUCUUCUGCGAUCCAAGUCUGAAUUGUAAUCUGAAUCGCUGUAGCCAACAAUUUCAAACACUUCUUGCUUAGUGAAUGUUAGACACAUAUUCAACGCUCCUGUUAAGUACUUGAAAACCCAUCUGACUGCAUCCCAGUGAGCUCUUCCUGGUUGAGACAUGUAUCUGCUGAUCAGACAAAUAGCAAAUCCUAAAUCAGGUCGAGAACCAAUCAUUGCAUACAUUAGGCUUCCAACAGCACUAGCAUACGGAAUCUUGUCCAUGUAGUUAGCUUCUUCCUUGAUCUCUGCAUCAGUUAACUUUCUCAAUUUAUGCUGGGAACUUACUGGUGUAACAACUGGUUUUGUUCCCUGCAUAUUGAAACUUUUCAGUACUUGUGUCAAAUAUUUUUCUUGCGAAAGCUUUAGAACCCCAUUCUUUCUGUCACGUAUGAUGUCCAUCCCCAAGAUACGAGUAGCUCUUCCCAAAUCUUUCAUUUCAAAUUCAGAUUUUAAGCUUUCCUUCAACUUCUGAAUCUUCUUCAUAUCUUUUGAUGCCACUAGCAUAUCAUCCACGUAGAGCAGUAAGAACACUUUCUCUUCUAAUGUCUUUCCUUUGAAAUAGACACACUGAUCAUGAAUACUCUGAGUGUAGCCUUGUCUCUUCAUAAACUCAUCAAACCUUUGAUUCCACUGUCUAGGAGACUGUUUCAAACCAUACAAAGAUUUCUUGAGCAAACACACUUUCGACUCAUCUCCUUUCCUGAUGAAUCCUUCAGGCUGACUCAUGUAGAUUUCCUCAUCUAGAGUUCCAUGUAAAAAAGCUGUCUUUACAUCUAGCUGUUCUAGUUCCAUGUCAUAGUUAACAACCACUGACAACAACAGCCGUAUUGACACAUGCUUUACCACUGGAGAGAAAAUUUCGUUGUAAUCAAUACCCUCUAUCUGAGUAAAGCCUUUAGCCACUAAACGAGCUUUGAACCUUGGUAGUUCCACUCCCGGAAUCCCCUCCUUGUACUUGAAUAUCCACUUACAACCAACAAUUUUCUUCCUUCCUGGUUUAUCAACAACCAACCAUGUAUUGUUCUUAGCCAAAGAAUCAAUUUCCUCUUGCAUAGCUUUCUUCCAAUGUAUCCAGUGCUUACCUCUUAUUGCUUCCGCCACAGUCUUGGGUUCUUGUAUGUCAACGUCUUUUGCACACAUCAACGCAUAAGCAACAACAUAAUCUCCCCCCUCUUCGUACAUUGACGGUUUCUUUAUGGUUCUCUUAGCUCUGUCUCGAGCCAGAACAUAAUCACUCAAGUUCUCUGUAGAAGUUUCCCCUGGCGUAUCCUCUGUUUCGUUCUGUUCCUCUGUUUCAGAUUCUGAAUUUUCUUCUUCUGACUCUGAACUGGGAGCUUCAUUUACUUCUGACAGAGCUCCACCUGAACUAGAAUCCUCAAAGAUUUUGUCAAAGCUAAAGGAAACUUUCUUUCCCUUCCUUUCUCUUGUAGACUUCUCAAGGCUCUUUUCAACAGAAUCUUUAAACACCCUAUCUUCAUGGAAGAUAACAUUUCUGCUAAUUGUACACUUACCAUCCUCUGGUAACCACACUCUGUAGCCUUUUACGCCUUGGGGAUAUCCUACGAAGUAACCCUUUAAAGCUCUUGGACUCACUUUAUCUUGAACCACAUGAACAUACGCUUCACAACCAAACCUUUUAAGAUGAUCAAAAACCACUUUCUUUCCUGACCAAACUUCUUCUGGAAUCUUGAAACUCAAUGACGAUGUUGGAGAUCGAUUAAUCAGAUAUACUGCCGUCGACGCCGUUUCUGCCCAAAACUGUUUUCCAAACCCUAUCUCAGCUAACAUGCUUCGAACCUUGUUCAUAAUCGUUCUGUUCAUUCUCUCUGCUACUCCGUUUUGCUGAGGAGUAUAGGAACAAGUGUUAUGACGUUUAAUCCCUGAGUUCUUGCACAAUCCAUCAAAAGCCUUGUUGCAAAAUUCCAAACCAUUGUCUGUCCUUAAACAUUUUACACGCUUACCGGUUUGAUUCUCAACAAGUUGCUUCCACUCUUUGAAACUUUGAAAUGCUUCAUCCUUAGAUCUUAGGAAAUUAAUCCAAACCUUUCUUGAAUAGUCAUCAAUGAAUGUUAUGAAGUAUUUACAGCCCGCAAGACUCUCUUCAACACUUGGUGAACCCCACAAGUCUGAAUGGAUGUACUCUAAUGGCCCUUUAGACGUGUGCUUUCCUUCCUGAAAACUCUGCUUCUGUGCUUUUCCGAGAACACAUUCUUCACAAAAAUCAAGCGUAUGCACUUCUUUUCCAUCAAGAUAGCCACCUUUGACUAAUUCAUUCAUGCAUUUUAACCCCAUGUGACCUAGCCUCAAAUGCCAUCUCUUUGUCGUAUCAACAUCUGGUCUAGCAACUGCAGCAAUUCCCUUUUGCACACUUCCAUUUAGAAAGUACAAACCAUCCUUGUAUGUCCCUGUGAUCACCUUCUUCCCAUCUUUAGAGAAAGUAACGUUGAAUCCAGCUCCUUCAUAACUGCACCCGCUCUUUUCUAACUGUCCAAAAGAUAUCAGAUUUCUACCCAUCGUGGGCAUAUACCGCACAUUAGUCAGAAUCACUUCUGUCCCGUCUGGAUUCACUAUCUUCAACUUUCCAAUUCCAGCCACUUCACUAUGAGUAUUGUUCCCCAUUAGGACUUUCCCACCAUUAACUUCUUUAAAGUCAAACAGAGCUUCUUUAUCUGGUGUGAUAUGAAAUGUGCAACCGGAAUCCAGGACCCACUGAUCACGCGUAUCAUGUAUACUUGCAGUUAAGAUCAUAGGUUCCUGUCUCUGAGCAACAUUUGCAUUCUGCUGUUUGUUCCCUUCCUUUCUCUCUGGGCAGUCCCUCUUGAAAUGACCUUCUCUGCCACAGACCCAACACUCUCUUGGUUUAGCUGGUGUCUGUGACCUAGAGCCCUUUCUUGAACCGUUAUCUCUGCUCUUACUUCUUCCUCUCCCUUGUUUCUUUCCUUGGUGCUUAUCACCUUUUCCUUGAGAUGCCAUCAGUCCCUCACUAGCUGAACUUGACUUUCCAACUAGUCCCUUUUCUCUUAACUCAGCUUCCUUUGAGUAAGCAGAAGUAGUAACUUCCUUUAAAGUCAGUGUCUCUUUGCUGUUCCCAUACUUCAAGGUGUGAACCAGGGAGUCGUAUUGAGACGGUAAGCUUGAUAGCACUUGUAUGGCUUGAUCUUCAUCAGAUAUAAUGAUGUUAAGACUUGCCAAGUCAUCCACCAACUUUAGAAAUCCAUCUAAAUUUUCUUCAAUCGAUUUCUGCUCUGACAUCUUGAAGCUUGCAAAGCUUUGCUUCAGGUAGAUCCUAUUUGGCAGAGUCUUGGUUUGAUAAUCAGCCUCCAGUGCUUUCCAAACCCCCAUAGCCGUCUGUUCUUUCAUCACUUUCCUCAACACAAUAUUAGUAAGGCUAGAGCAUAUUAGAUUUCUCACUCUAGUAUCCUUUUCUUUAGCUUUGGGAUCAGGUUCCUCUUUGGCUUCCAGCUUCAAGUCCUCAUCAUCUUUCUCCGAUGAUUCUUCACUUGAUUCAACUUGCAGCACCUUACCGAGUCCCUGUAACUCAAGCUGCAUAAGCAUCUUGAACUUCCACAUCCCAAAAUCACCUUUACCAUCAAACUUCUCCAUCUUGAACUUCGUAACAGACUCUAUUAUCAAGAUACGAGCUCGUAACACACAGAUCCACAGAAAAAACACUUAGGAUCGACUGACGCCCUAGAUCACGAUCACUCGCAAUCACCUCCUGCACAAUAACCUUGCGCUCUGAUACCACUUGUUAGUGUUUUAUCUUGAUUAUAUCUAUACGAUUUCGACUGAGAAGUUGGUUCGCGUUGUAUCUCUACUUCAGUUUGAUCGAGAAAAGUAAAACGCAAUCAACACGAGAAUUGUUUACCCAGACUUCGUUGCCUACUGUCUGGGGAGAGAUCAAAACUCUCAAGCAAUCACUAGCUCAGAAUCAAUACAAAGACUCGGUUUCUUUCUACACAAGUAAACGGAUCUCACCGAGUGAAAAGUGCAAAGAUAACCUCUGAAAUACACCACCGGUAAUCAGAUACUCCUUUGGCUAGACCGGGAGCAGCUCUUCACCGUCUCCGUCGCGAUCGUUGCCGAGAUAAGUCUCUUUCUCUCUCUGAUUCUGUUUCUCUAGUUCGUUAGCCUCUCUAACAAACUCUCCUCUCUCGAUGAUGAUGAUGACGAUAACAUAUCCUCAUUAAAGGAAACUGUGUCGUUUCUGCUAAUGGGUUCUGAACCUUUUCCUUGCAGGUGUAGCUGAUGGGCCUCGACACAGGCCCAAGUUCUAAAACCAGCUUGGAUGAGACGACAAACACUCACAGUUUUGUACCAACACCAAACCCCGACGACGCCUCCACCAUGAACCAGCACGAACCGCUUCGUCUCUGUUCCUUCACCUUAUUCAGCUCCUGUUACGCAUACAAAUGUCCCUCACCAUGUCACGACAUACUUCAGCCUUUUUUACCUUUCUAUUUACGUGUGAAAAAAUUAUUUUCAAAAGGCAAUUCAUGCAAAGUUAAAGGAAUUUUUUUUUUUGUAACUGAAGUUAAAGGAAUUAACAUUUACAAAAAUUGUGAAAUGUGAAUGCAAACUAUAUUUGACCAAAUUAUGUUUAAAAUACUAAUAAAUUGAAGUUUAAUUUUGAUUAACGUAUAUCCUAAAAUAAACGCAAAUAAACAAUCCUAAUCAUCAUAAGUUUAUUCAUUUGUUUUCUAAUAAGUGAAAUGCCUGUCUUGUCUACGAGCUGGUUAGGCUUGAACAGUUCCCCUUUUUCUGAAUUUUCUAUGUUCUAGUUUCUCCACCCAAAGGAGAAGAGAUUGUUUAUAGAUGCAUUACUACAUGUUACAACGUUUGUUCGUGCUUGCCUCUGUUGGAGCAAUGAAACAGUUGAGAUUUUCACGUCGUGAAAAAGGCCUUUGCAUGAGACUUGGUCUGACUUGGUAUUGAGGAAUAUAUAUAUGAGAAUUGUAUUUUUUUGACAAUAUCUGAUAACUAGGUGUUUUGCCCGCGAUGCGGGCUUAAACAUUUUUAUAAUUUUUUAAAAGUUCUUUGUACACUAUAUUUNNNNNNNNNNNNNNNNNNNNNNAUUCUAUUUUUAAUUAUCUAAUUAAGAUUUUUAUUUGAUUAAUAUUUAGUUAUAUAAUUCAUGUUUUUAACUUUUUACUAAAAUACUUUUUCAAACAACAAUACAAUAUAUAUACAGAAAUUAUCUCUUUUUUAAAUUAUAUUUUCAGAUUUUGGAUAAUUCUUACUAUUAUUAAUUUUAAUCAAUUAUCUAAUCAAAUAACUUAAUUUUUCUUUAUUUUUUAAUUUCGUUAUACAUUUUAUUCAUUAAGGGUAUAAACAAUAUUAAUCAUUCUAACUUUUAACGUGAGAGCUCGAUUCCAAAAAUUUACUUCGCAAAUAAUAGUAUAGAUAUCCCAUAUAUAUUAAAACAGAAGCAUUGUAAUAAAUGUAUUUACACUAUAAUAAACACGUGGCAACCUCACAAUGAUUUGAUAAUAAUUAUGCUAACGCGUUCACACUAUAUUCAUAAAUGUGUUCACACUAUGUACUUUGCGAUUUUUUUUAAAUAUAAAACUCACAUACAUUGUUCCAAUAAAACUCUAAAUUUUUCGGUUCGAAUAAAAAUAGAUAACGAAUCAAAAACCAAACUAUAUAUAUAUUAUUUUUUAUUGUAUACGGAUAAAGUUGAAAAAAAUAUUCAUAAAUUUUGAUUCGAUUCGUUAUCCGUUUUGAUUUGAACCAAAAAAUCUGGAUAUCUGUAACUCUACGAAACAAAUCAAAUACUAAAAUACAAUAUCCACAAAUGAAACAAAUCACAAAAACCAAUAUUUUUAGGAACAUAUAUCUAAUUCGAUCUGUUAUAUGCAUAUAUAUAUAUAUAUAUGUAAAGAAUUAUAUAUAUAUAUAUGUUAUAUAUAUUAUACUUUAUAUCAGUUUUACAAUAUUUUUAUGAAUUAAAUUUAUUAUAUUAGGAAAUAGAAUUUAAAAAGUCAAAUAAUGUUUUAUUUUAUUUACGGAUCAAAUCAGAUAUUCUUUAAAAUUCUAAAACAUUUCGGAUAUCCGAGUCACCAAAUAUCUAGGUGGCUAAAGAUCGAAUCGACACGAAUGCUUCCAAAUACCUAGAUAUUCGAUAUGUGACAACCCCUAUUUACGGAUACAAUUUUAUUUUCUUUAAAUGAAAAAAAAUGACUAAUGUCAAGGCCUUUUUUAUUUUAAAUUAAUUUUAUCUUUCAUGUAUUAUUUUGAACAAAAAUGUCAUUUAAUAUUAAUUAACAAUAUCUUUAUAUAUUUGUCAACUAUUUUUAUAUCCUUUUUACAUGCACAUACAUGUGCACCAUGAUGUGAGCACCUUGUAACUAAGUAUUCAGCACAACUGAAGUAUCGAUUUUUUUUUAAAGUUGAAAUAUUUUUUCUUAAUGCUUCUUUCACUACCAACCAAAUUGUAGUGAAAUGAUAUGUCUUAAUAAUUUUCAAAUAUAUAUACACAUAAAUAUGUAAAAUAGUAUUGUACAAUUUACUGAAAUUAUCAAAUUAUGUACAAAUACUAUAUUACAUAUGUCUAAUAUUAGCAAAUAGUAUAUUGCCUAAAAUUUACAGUUGCCGACUGCCGGAACAUAAUGUAAUGAACAAACAUUACAAAGAAUGCAUGGGAUCCCAUCACAAUACUUCCUUGUAAUGCUUCAACAACUCCAAAUGGUCGUCCUCUAGGCAGUCUUGAUCAGCUCAAUCGAACAGAGGUUAAAGUAGUUAUUUACUCCUUUUGUUCCAGCUAGUUCAAAUCCAGUUUUGAACAAUCAACGUGGUGUUAGUGCAAAGAUGACACCACAAUUGAGUAAUGCAGAAGAUAAAUCAAGAGACAAAAUAGAUACAAGCAAUCAACUAUGCUUUAUUAGAAAUCGCCUAAACAAUCUAUUACAAGACUUGCUUAUCAGCUUUUACACGUCAGUAUUAACACCCUAACACACGUUACUGACAGAUUCCUAAUCUACCCAAACAUGUCUCUUUCCCGUCAGUACUUCAGCAUCUGCUUCAGCACGACCCAAGAACACCCCUAAGGGAUUUUCACCCUUCCUCUAUAAUAAUAGCCAGUGUCUUAUGGAAUACAGACGACUCCAUAGCUCUUUUAUAGUGAUCUCCACGUUCCUGAAACCCUAGUCUCCAAGGCAACAUGCAUAUGGACAACUUCCAUAUCAAUAAGUACACUUUCCUUUUCUUGAAAUGUACUUAUUCCUCAAGGCAUAAACUUGCUCCCCAAGUUUAUCUCUUGCCUUUUUCUCCACGGUAUAAACUUGCUCCUCAAGUUUAUCCCACGCCAGCUCAGCAUCUUGCGUCCACAUGGUCUCUACCACUCCGCAUGCCUCCAGGUUCACUCUCUGACACACACUGCCUCAGCAACUACUUCAACGACUACGUCAAGACAUAAACCCUCAGUUUAUCCUUCUCCAUCUCAGCAUAUCUUGCAUCCACAUGGUAACCCACCACUCUGCAUGCCUUAUGUAGUAACGACUAAUGCAUCCAGCAUCAGUUACUUCGUCGUCUAGUUAGUCACGGAAGACCAUUGACAUCUACAAGCUCCACUUGCAUCUUCAAUCUCCCCCUUUUAGCUUUGUGUGCCGAUCAAGCACAAUAUCCUUCUGGUUCAACAACCACGUUUCCUCACCUGGAAACUUCCACACUCGAUAUGCCAUUCUCCCCCACGAGAGUUGCACUAUCUUCAUCUUCUUACAUAGAUAUGCUUUUCUCCCCCACGAGAUAUGCACCAUCUACAUCAGGACGUCCAUCACCAUGCUCUUCUCCCCCACGAGAUAUGCACUCCUUGGACCAGAACGUCACCACUUCUCCCCCUGCUUGAUUGCAUACUAAGCUAAAACAAAGAUGCUUAGAUGUCAAUGCAAACAUCACAGACACACCCGUCUGCUUCUUCAUGCGUAUUGCAUCAGGCCCUGACGCAUCCGUCGAGCUACUUCUUGAACUACCUCUCGAACCACUCUUUGUCUUGGCUCCUUAGGCUUUGGCUUCUUCCCCUCUGCUGUAAAUAUGGUAGGCUCCUCCCACCCAGUCUUCACUGCUAUCCACGCAGCAUCAUUGAUUCCUCGAACCAACAGCUUCAUGCGCACCUUCCAAUGACCAUACCGGCCAUCCUUCAACAUGAUUGUCUUCUGCAUAGAACAAUCGUGUACAUCUUCACCUUCAGGAUCACACCAGUAACUUAGGUGACCCGCUCUGAUACCACUUGAUAGUGCAAAGAUGACACCACAAUUGAGUAAUGCAGAAGAUAAAUCAAGAGACAAAAUAGAUACAAACAACCAACUAUGCUUUAUUAGAAAUCGCGUAAACAAUCUAUUACAAAACUUGCUUAUCAGCUUUUACACGCCAGUGUUAACACCCUAACACACGUUACUGACAAAUUCCUAAUCUACCCAAACAUGUCUCUUUCCCGUCAGUACUUCAGCAUCUGCUUCAGCACGACCCAAGAACACCCCUAAGGGAUUUUCACCAUUCCUCUAUAAUAAUAGCCAGUGUCUUAUGGAAUACAGACGACUACAUAGCUCUUUUAUAGUGAUCUCCACGUUCCUGAAACCCUAGUCUCCAAGGCAACAUGAAUAUGGACAACUUCCAUAUCAAUAAGUACACUUUUCUUUUCUUGAAAUGUACUUAUUCCUCAAGGCAUAAACUUGCUCCCCAAGUUUAUCUCUUGCCUCUUUCUCCACGGUAUAAACUUGCUCCCACGUCUGCUCAGCAUCUUGCGUCCACAUGGUCUCUACCACUCCGCAUGCCUCCUGGUUCACUCUCUGACACACACUGCCUCAGAAACUACUUCAACGACUACGUCAGGACAUAAACCCUCAGUUUAUCCUUCUCCAUCUCAGCAUAUCAUGCAUCCACAUGGUAACCCACCACUCUGCAUGCCUUAUGUAGUAACGACUAAUGCAUCCAGCAUCAGUGACUUCGUCGUCUAGUUAGUCACGGAAGACCAUUGACAUCUACAAGCUCCACUUGCAUCUUCACGUGGCAUCCCUAAAUCUUUCAUUAAAAAUUUGAGAACCGAAAAGAAAGGUAAACAUGUUUACAUGACUAUCUAUCACUAUACCAUCGUCCAACAAUAUCUAGAAUAUGCUUAUAAGGGUACUAUAUUUCAUGUUUACAUAUAUUCAUGGAUGAUUUUAGUAAAUAUAUUGAAAGAAAUCUAUUCCAUUUAUAAAUUCACUCAUAUGGAACGACUUAUAAAUGGAAUAAAAUAUUAUUCAAUACAAACCGAGACAACACUAACUUCUGGUACAUCUAUCCAUGCAGGGGUUCCAUACCAUGCGAUCAGUACUGUACUAUUUUAUUAUAAUAUAUGUAGCCUAUUUCAGAUAAAAAUAGUCCAGAUCCACAUGUUUAUACAUCAAUUCACAUUUACAAGACUUCUAUUUACCAACUCACUCAGAUAGAAUGACUUAGAAACAGAAGAAACCAUACUAUACAGACAGAAAACUCCUAACUUAUGGUUAUCAUAGGUUACUAAACAGAGUCUGACAUGAAAUGACAUAUGGAUGUUAUACUAUGUAAGUUUAAGUACUAUAGUAACUAGUAUACAAAGUAUAGUAACAAAUACUAUUCCGAAAUAGACAAAGCAAAAGGACAUUUGUGUUAUAAAAAACACUAGAUCAUUACUUGGAUUGCAAUUAUAAGGAUCUAAUUCGACAUACAACCGAGGACUUGUCAGAUGUGUACACUCGGUUCAAAUAGUUCCCACUUGAACAUAAUAGAAGACAAAAUCUCUUCAAAUUGAGAGAAAUGAAGCAUAUAAUCAAAACUGUAGAUGAAAAAAUUUCUAGUAAAACGAAGAGGUUAGGGUGAUUGAGGAAGAGUUGAUGAACCUCGCCGCGGCACCGUUUACAUUGUCGGUGACUCCGUAGAUUUCAGAUGCAGCGAAGCUUCCCAUCAGUAACCAAGCAAGCCGUUGCAGACGGGCAUCUCCUAAGCAAAGCUACUCCGGAAAUGAUCUUGGUGGUCACAUAGUGGAUAAAUAAUGGGAGAGAAACCACUCACUUUCUACAAAGUUACCAACAAAAAUUACUUUCAUAAGUUAUGUGAAUCCCCAAAGACCACGAUGUACUUGUGUCAGGUAAUUAUUAAUUUAGUUUAUUUUUUUGUUUGUAGAUUUCGCUGGUUGUGUGAAAGGCUAAAGUGACAAUAUUAUAUAAAGUACAUACAUUAUAUCGGUAUACUAGGGUAUUUGGACAUAGAAUGAAUUAUUAAUUGUUUGAUGGUCAUAUGGUGCAAUUUCCCUUCUUAUAUUAGCCCAUUUGAUUUUGAAGACGAGUCAAGUGAAGGCCAAAGGUUAAAGGCAAAAACAUGGCUUUAAAUAUUACAAGAUAUAACAAUUAGUAACAUUACUACAUGAUUACGCGAAAUGAGGAACACUCUGCUCCUUUUUAAAGAAUUUAUCAGGAUUAUACUUGGCUUUACUUGCAUCAACUUCUUCAAAGUCCCAAAAAUAUAUUUGGAUGAACCGUAGAUCUUAGCUUCAUCCACGUUUGUCUCGCCACUCGGAUUGUUUCCAGUGUCGAUGUCUCUGUAAUUUAUAAAUGAUUCUGUCUGGUUACUUGACACUUACGGUUCCGCAGCCUAUUAAAGCUCUUUAACAUUCAAACUUAAGUUAGUCUCUCUAUUUUUUGCUUGUGCCCAACGAUGUUUUUUCUGGCUAAAUAUCGCUUUAUACAUUCAUAUCUGCAGCUGAUGGGAAAUGUUCUCUGACCUGUGAUUUGAGCUUGAGUUUACUAUGGUUCAUGGUUGCUUGUUUGUAGAGGUAACAUCUAAAAUUUAAUUUAUAUACCUCAUAUAGAUUUAAAGAUCUAUAGCUGGAAUAGCUCAGUUGGUUAGAGCGUGUGGCUGUUAACCACAAGGUCGGAGGUUCGACCCCUCCUUCUAGCGUUAUUUUUUGAAAAAUAUUCCUACUCUCAUUAACUUUAUUAUGCACAGGAAUUGACUGAUAAGUGCCAAGGUGGAGCUGAACCAAUCAAGAAGCAAUGAUGACGUCGAGGUGACAACUUUAGGCGGGAAAGUUUCUUGAGUCUUGAGUUUUUUUUUUUUGGAUUGGAUGUGGUCACUGGGAAAGUCUCCAGCAGAUCGGUAAAAGCUGAAAUUUUUUGCGAGUUAGAACCGAGACUCGAUCGUGGUGAUGGCGUCGUCGGUACUGGUGACAGUGGGAGUAACAGUGGAAAUGUGAUUAUGUGGAUUUCUUUUUCUCGGAGACUAUGGCGAAGAACAAGAUCUUAAAGUUUCAUGUUAAGAUGUUCAUGUCCACAACUAAUCUAAUUACUAUUCGCGUUUUGGUGUACACGUCCACACUUAAUUUUGUUUAUACUUUUAAUAUAUAUAAUUUAUAUCACUUAAAACUGUUUAUAACUACAUAAUUUUAAUUUUUCACUUGUCAAAAUAUUUUUUUAAAAUAUUAAAAAUUAUUUUGAGAUCAACUAUACCAGAAGACUUCCAUGGACGUCGACGUACAAUAUCUUAGAAGGAUUUCCGGGGCUAUAUUCGUAAAAAUGAGUUAUGUUUUUUUGUUUGGUCACAAGGAACUAACUGUAAUUUCACAUGACUUUUUGGUUACCUUUACAUUUGAUUCAAGUUUGGAUACACUGUUGCAAUCAAAGUCAAGUUUUGAGUAAUAUUUGGCAAAUCCCUCAUAAAAGAAUCUUAUACCAUCACUUAUUUUUUUGUCAGCACCAUCACUUUAUAAAUAUAAAUAAAUAUUUAAAUAAAUAAGUAACUUUUAAAAAAAAAUUGAAAUUUUUUAUUCAAUUCAAACUUAAAAAAACUGUUUAACUAAAUAUAAAGCAUAAGUAAAUGUUGAUUAAAUCUAAAAGGUAUAAAUGUAUGCUACCUCUUUAAUGAUAGAAAUUUUUUUAUUUUUGUGUAUUAUAUUUAUAUUAAAAAAUUAGUGUUAUCGUAAAAAGUAUUUUAAAAUAAACUUUAGCAUUUUCAUAAAGUACUUUUGAUAUAUUUUUCAAGAAUUAUAAAAUUCAUAAAUAUAGUAUUAGAUUGUAAAAAUCACCACUUUCUUGUAUCAUUUUUUAUAAAGCUAUCACAUUAUAAAUCAUAAUAGUUUGUUAAUAAUCAAGUCUUUUCAAUUUAUUAUUUUAUUCAUAAGAAAUUACAUAAUGCCAGAUGGUAAGCAUACUUCGUAUAACAUCAUAUGAUUCAUAUUAUUUAAAAGUAAUUUUAAUUUGAAAAACACCUUUAAAUUGACACUGUAUUAUUUGUGAAUGACAGAAGGCAACAUCGUUUUGCCCAUUCGAGGAGAGAACUAUGAGACGACCCACCUUGAGUCCAAGCUCGUUCGGUGCUAACCCUCACUUCCUCAGCUUUAGCCCUUACCUUCCGUCCUUCUUCAUCCUCUUCGCCCAAAACCUUUCUCACCAAAGACGCCACUUCUUCUCGGCUGAUCACUCUCUUUGACGGUAACUCCGACGUACGAAUGGCUACACCGAUCUCUUCAGUCAGAAAUGCAGCAUUCAUCCAUUGCUCUGCGUAAAGAGGCCAAGCCACUAUUGGCACUCCUUGAGUUAAACUCUCUAACACAGAGCUCCAGCCGCAAUGAGACAAGAACCCACCGAUUGAUCCAUGGCUCAAGAUCUCAACUUGUGGUGCCCAUUGGGUGACCACAAGACCCAUACCACGUGUGCGAUCCAAGAAACCUUCCGGUAGGCCGACACUUACCAGAUCAUCAUCGUUCGAGCUUUCACCUAGGUAAGAAGCAGGCUUACGCAGAACCCACAUAAACCUUUGACCACUUAACUCUAAUCCACAUGCAAGUUCUAUCGUUUGCUCUAAAGACAGCGUUCCACCACUGCCUAAACACAAAUACAAUACUGACCUUUCCCGUUGUUUGUCUAACCACUCGAAUAUACUAUUAGGCUUUUUAGUAGGCCCAUUAGGCCUAACAAUUGGCCCGAUAGCAUAAACCGGUACUUUCAUAACCCGGCUCAAUUCUCCGUCCUCCAUAAGCGCGGCUAGAGUAUUUCCUUGUAGUUCCUCCCAAGUAUUCACCAAAACACCAUCGCUCAUAGUCAUAGGUAUCUCCUCGCCACACCGUACACACUCUCGGUAGUGUCGGUUGGACCGGUCUAGCAUUGUUUCCAUGAUGUCAUCCGCUCCAACCGGUCUACAACCUGGAAUUUUCAUAGGCUCUUUGAUAUCAAUGUAUUCCCCUUCCACAACCUUAUCCAAUACGGGCAAGUACACCAACACUGCCAAGAACCACGCGUGGGAAGCGACGUACACGUACUUAGCCAUGCCGACAUCAUCGGCAAUGGACAUCAUUCCUGUACCAAGAAAGUCAACGAUCAUGACCGUCGGUUUUUGUGUCAUUAAUUUGAUGGCGUCUUGAACCACGGGCUUUGUGGCUCGCAUCUUUUCUACAAUUUUAGUGAACACCGUCGCAUCUGGCUCAACGAAGUAGUCUAUAUCAACCGAGGGUAAUUCUGUAACUUCACAUGUCCCUCUAGCAACAACUGCGCGUAUUGCCUCGGUUUCGGCCAGGGAGGAGGAACCGGAGGUUACUGCGAGAACUGUAACGCGGAAGUUGAGUACAGAGGAGAGCCGGUUUCCAAGUUCGAGGAUAGGGAUGAGAUGGCCUAAGCCAGGGCUAGCGACUAGAAGCGCGUGCGGCUGCUCCAUGACCUAAUCAUUAGAAAGUUUAAUUAAAAUGAUUACGAAAACCGAAAGAAAACGUUAUAGUAAAAGGGCGUUAAUUACGUGAGAGAUCCUUGCGGAUGUACGGACUUACCUUUUCCUUAUAUUAGAAGUUGUUUCCUGCUUGUCAAUGGCGGUGCAUGAACUGGGAUAAGACCAUAGACUAUCGAUAUAUACGGGCUCAUAUGAGAUAUAGAGUAUUUAUUACUGAUUUUAAUUUAGAGAAUUUGUUUUUUUUAAAACGGCACAACUGCUAUACUAUCUAUCUCUUAAAAUGCAAAACCGUGGAUUGAAUCCGAUAUGGGUUACUGACAAGUGACGUACAUGUUAAUUCUUACCCAUAUGACCCAACGUAAUGUUAAAGAGACGUGAAACUUAAGGGGCAUACGGACUUUUGGACUGAAGCUUAACUUUGUAGACAAAAAGUUAAAAUAACCCAAGAAAAUCUACGCGUACCGAUGUUUCCGGAUUUGUCCAGAGCAAGAAGAAGAAACAAAGAAAGACUCAAUCACUCGGCUUCAUUAUCAUACUCUUUCGGUCACAUAAGCAGUGAGUGACGAUGACGUGCGCUUGCAGCCAGCAUACAUGUCUUCUCAGUUCUCAUAAUGCUACUCGUGUUUCCAACAGAUCAACGCACCCCACAAAACAACGACCACUUAUUUAAGGUUUUUUUGUUUAUAUAUUUAUUAGUUAGACUGUUAAAAGAUAAUGCAUAUACAAUACAUUUAAAAAUAGAAAACAUCAAAUAACAUAACAAAAAUGACUAAGAUCAUGAUUAGUGGUGAGAGACUCCACAAAUCUCAUAAAUUUUUAAAAAUAAAACUGAUUACAUAAUUAUGUUUUAACUAAAAUGAAUCACUAAAGAAUUGACAUGUGUCAAUAGAGUACUUCAAGAUGGUGUCAAAUUUUUCUUUACGAAGGGACUCUAUCUUGUAUCUCUCUUCUUUUAUAUUUUUUUAUUGUUAGAACCUGUCCUAGAAAAUCAUGUAGAAACUACCAAUGUUAAUGGCCUAAUUAAAGACAACAAUACAUCGUCAAAUGAAGUAAAAUUUGAAGAUAAAAUUCCUUCCGAAAUCUUUUUAUCAAUAAAAUAUCAAUUCUAUUAAUUUUUUUGCGAACUUCGAAUCUUGGUCACAUCAGAAACACUAAUUUUCUUUGUUAUAUUACAUUGAUCUCAUCCAAAACUAAAGCUAUAACUAUUUUUAGUAUAGAAUCCAAAGUAUUCAACCGUAAAAUUUAAAAUCUAGAAAACCAAUUUUCAACGAUUGUAAAAGUAUUGCCAUAUAACAAAAGAGAAUAAACUUUCUUUCUAUACUUUCGUUUUUCCAUGGAGAUUUCCAUUAUAUCAACGACAUUAUAUUUAUCCAUAUUUUGAUACUAAAUAUAUUGUAUCAAAAUAUAGAUUUUAAAAGAUUCUUCAGCCAUCUCUGAAGUUGUUCUUCUACUCAUGAUCUAACAUAUAGAUUUUUCAACAAGUCUUGUAAUUUGUUUUGUUCCCAAAUUCUUCGGCUAAGUCACCAUUUACAGCGACGAAUAAUAUCAUGUAAUCGAUAUUUGACCAAAUUUUGUUAAAAUGACAUCAUAAUAGACCUUUCCGCCACGAAGAUAAAGAAUAUCUGAACGGGACUGCCGUAGAAUUGUCCCACACCGACAACAUGAUAGAAUUCUAAUAACCGGUAUAUACCAAAUGGUCAUGUGUCAAACAGUGGCGGAUCCAGACCGGAUAUUUGACGGGGGCACAUAAUUAAUAAAUAUAUUUAAAAUUAUUUUUAUAUAUAGUAUAAUUAAAUAAUAAUUUGUUAAAAAUAUUGUAAGCUAACUAUAAUCUGUGAAAAUAAUUUACACUAACUUUUUGAACACAUGAAACAUUUUUAUAAAAUAACUUUAAGAAUUCUUACACUUCUUCACAAAUGUUACUAAUCACAAUAAUUCUGUUACACAAAAAUAAUUUGAAAAUAUAUAGAAAAGUAACCUUGAAGUUUACAUAUAUAUAUAUAUAUAUAUAUAUAACAAUAUGUCAAAAUUGUAAAUAAACUGUUUUAUCAUCAUCUUUAUAUAAACUAAACUCUAAAAUAUGAAAUAAAAAUGAAUAGAUAAAUUUAUUAUUUUAAUAUUAAUUGGUUUUAUUUAUUUACUAGCAGUUGUGAAUGUUUGUUAUAAUAAAAAUAUACUUAAAAUGUGGCACCAAACUUGAAAUCUAAAGAUGAAUAUAUAUAAAAUAUAAUAUACAAACUAUGAAAAACAAAUAAACAAAAGGAAGAAGAAGGAAAAAUGCUGCAUAUAAGUUAUAACUUGUAAAGAAAGAUACAGUAAAAGUAGACUGUAAACGUGUCAAACAGCAAAUUAACUGUACAACAAAGUGGAGAAAACAAAAAAGUAAUUAUAAAGAUGGGUGGUAUCGAACCAUGGAAGAAUAGGUCAACAGUGGAGCUUCUUUACCAACUAGUCUACAAAAGCAGAGUUGUUCCCUUGGUUGUUGAAUAGAUUUUAUAAAGUAGUCGGGGGCACGUGCCCCCGUUCAUCACACUGUAGAUCCGCCCCUGAUUAUACUAAUCCGAUAAUUUAAUGAUUGAUUUGAAGACGAUCAGAUAUAGCAAUGAGUUUAAACGGUAUCCCUAUAUAUUAUUUGAGAAGCAUUGCAAUAUUUUUUUGUAGCCACGUGUCAUCACUAGAAUGAUUCUUAGAAUCCGUAGAGAAAUAUGUUGGUCCAUCUAAAUAUAUAAUAAACUUUUUAUUAAACCACAAUAAAUACAUUAUUAAUGUGCUUCAUUAUUUCCUUAAAUAAAAUAACGAAAUUGCCUAAUGUUGCUAAAGUAUAUAUGACAAUUAAUGAUUUUGAAUAAUAAAGAUUUGAUAACAUAAGUGUGUAUUAUAAUUAUAUUUGUUUAAUUUUAAGCUAUUAAAAUAAAUUAAACAAUCAUAGUAACCAUAUAAUAAAAAUUAAAAAAACUUAUUUAUAUAUUAUAUUUUUAAUUUUUAAAAACGAGUAUAAAUUACUAAAACUGUUAAAAGUUUCACAUUCAAAUUUUGUGAUCUAUGAUUUAAAACUUUUAUUAUGACAUGAUACAAAUAAUUAAAAAAUAAUAUAAGUUGAAAGUCUCAUUUAAUAAGUAUCAAAAAUAAAAGAUAUAUAAAUAUAUGUAUCAUUUUAAAUUAAACUAUAUGCCAUAUAAAAAUACAUAAAUAUCUUAAUUUUGAAAUUUACUUUGAACAUUUUUUGAUAAAAAAAUUGAAAAUAUUGACAACUUAAUUUUUUAAAAUACUAUAAAUUACUUACACCAUUAAUUCCACAGUGAAAAUUUUGUUAUCACUAAUUUAGACUUUUUGCUAUAACAUAUACAAAUGAUAAAAAAAUAUGAGCAAAAAGCAUCAUCUAAUAAAUAUUAAUAUUAAAAUAUACCCCAUAUAUGUUACUAUCAUUUAAAUUUAAUUAUAUAUCAUUUCAAAUAGAAAAAAUAUUUUUUUGAUUUAUAAAAUUUAUUUAUAUGUUCGUACCAAUUUAAUUAUAUAAGUAGUAGAUAAUGACUUCUUAAUUAUUCAAUAAAUAUUUAUUAUUUCAUAAUAUGUUAUAAACAUAUAAUAUAUAAAAUAAUUUAUAUAUAUAUAAUGUUUAUCCCGCGCAAGGCGCGGGUCUUAACCUAGUAAAAUAAUAAGGGAUGGCUCAAUCAGGUUUUAAGUAAGAUUUUUUUUUUGUUUUGGAUUAAGUUUUUUGGGCUCAGAUUAUUUGUAUCAUAAAUAACUGCACGACUAAAUUUUAAUCUAAUUUUAUUUGAAUUGUUUGAAUUUUUCAAGAGAAUUUGGUUAUCAUCUUUUUAGAAAAAUUAACUAUUAAUUAACUUCAGUAUAAAUAUUUUUAAAAAAUAUAUAUAAAUAGAAGAAAAUCAUUAUUUUAAUAAAUUGACCAUUGAUAAUAUAUUGAGUAGAAGUAAACAUAUCAUUUUUUGGUAUAAACAUACAGUAUACAGAAUAUCUUGAGAAUUAUACUUUUAAAUUUAUGUUUCGUCUUGACAUAUUUUGCAAUGUUUUUGAGGUUCUGACAUACAUAAAUAUAAUAAAUUUGAUAAAAUUAUAUAAUAAAAUGAAGAAGAUAAACCUACUAUCAAAGAAAUACAUAAAUAAAAAUCACAAAACACUAAAUGUCAAAUAAAUGGGUAAAACUAGAAAAAAAAAUCAUUGAAAAUAUUCAGAUACUAGUGGAUGCAGUGACAAAGAAAAAACUAUGGAAAAAAGAAGAGGAUCUAAAUGUUACUUAGUUUGUUCGUGAUUUUUAACAUGUUUUUGUAUAGGCAUUAUCAUAUCUUUUCUUACGCGAUAGCUAAACAAAUGCAGAAUCGAAUGCGAAAUUAUAAAAGUAAGUUUUGUUUCGUGAAACGCUGCAUGUAAUAUUAUUUAUCGAUGGAUAAAACUAAUGGUAUUGAUUUCAUAAUACAGUAUUUACAUACAAAUUUUAACUAGAAUUAAGUUUGUAUUGGAUGAAACAUGAAACAAAUAAUCAUGAUAACUCGUAAUAAGUUGUUUGUGUUUUUCAUAUUAAAGAUAUAAAAUAAAAAGCAAAUGAAACUUGAAAGAUAAAUCAUUAAUUAACUGUCAGAAACCACUUGUGUUUUUAAAAUAACUAUGUAAAUCUUAAUAGAUACUACUAUUUGCGAAGUGAUUUUUCGUAUUAUAAAAAAAAAGGUUUACAAUAAAAGUUCAUAUAAUAAUUUUUAAAAUAUACAUAAAUAUUCAUGAAUGGUAACAACGACUAACUUUUAACAUGGGAGCUUCAUUGCAAAAAAAUCACUUCGCAAAUAAUAGUAUAGAUAAAUGGAUAAAACUAAUUGUAUUUUUGAUUUCACAAUACAAUAAUAUUUACAGACACAUUUUAAUUGAAAUUAUUUUGUAUUGAAUAAAACGUGAAACAAUAAAUCAUGAUAAAUCGUAAUAAAUAGUUUGUGUUUUCUUAUUAAAGAUAUAAAAUGAAAAGAAAAUGAAACUUGAAACAUAAACCAUUAAUUAUCUGUCAUAAACUAGUUGUGUUUCAAAAUAAAUAUGUAAAUUUAAAAAUAAAUUAUGAUAAAAAAUAUGUAAUAUCAAAAACUAUAACAUAUCAGAAACAAAGAACAAAUAAAGAUGAUAAAAACUAGACAAAAGAAAGCUUGUCUUCGUAAACUGAAGAAAUUACUAAAAUCUUCAUGGAAUAAUUGGAAUAGAUUCAUCCUAGUUAUUCAAACUGAAACAAUAGAUUCAAUUUCUUACAUCAUGAUUAUUUUUAGCUGGAAAUCUGAUUUUACAAGAAACAUGUUCAUACGUUAAUAAAGAAAUAUGUUCAUUUAAGAUGAAAAUUUCCUUGCAAUAACUUUUAACAAUAUAUUAAAAAAAUCAACAACUAGUCAUGUCCCUCUAGUAAAUUUUUGAUUUGCCCAAUGGAUGAACAUAAUGACAAACGGAAACAUAGUUGAAAAUAGUGUGAAUGAUAGUAUCUAUCGGUUUAAAAUUUGCAAAGGUAAACCAUAAUAUAUGUGGAUUUGAAAUUACUCAAUCUAUCUAAUUAUUUUUUAUCUCAAACAUUAAGUUGACACAUAAGAGAAAGUAAUGAUAAUCACAAUGAUAAUUCAUUUUAAUUGGACACACCAUUUUUAGAUAACUAUUUAAAUGAACCAUUGUGAGACACUUCCACACUUGAUCAACCCAGGUCUCAUAUUCAAUCAUCAGAAAAUAAUUUAUUUAAUAAUAUUAGGUAUUCAAUCACAAUAAAAUUAAAAGAAAACUAGUUAAAGAAAAUUUUGAUAUCAAAGAAAUUUGUUCAAUAUUCAAUGAUCUUUGUAAUUUAUAAUAUGGUUAGUUGUGUGAUAUGUUUAUCCAAAAACACAUGCUGUAUAUAUUUGUUGUGAGUUAAAUUUGUCUUUUUAGUUAUGAUAAGUUUUAUUCAUAAUGCUUAAUGAUUUAGUUUAAAAUAAUAUAAUAGUUUUAUUCAUAUUUCUUAAUGAUUUUGUUUAAAAAUAUUAUAUUGUUGUGUUGUAUCGUAGGAUUGUAAAACAGUUCAAGAGGAAUAUUGAAAAAUAAUAUUCAAUUAUUUUUUGUUUUUUCUUGUUAGUUCCGUAUAGUUGCAUGAACAUGUUAAAUUUUUUAUUUUAUGCGAAGAAAUGUAUAAAAACGAAAAAAACAAAAUCCUAUUUCGUGAUGGAUGCCAACACAAAGAGACACUAUUAUUGUCAAUAAAUUACUGUAAGUUAGAAAAUUCUUGUUAUGAAAAGAAACAUGUUCAUUUAAAGAUAAAAAAUCUCAAUAAUCAUAUAGUCCAAGGCAACAAUUUUAUUGAGGAAAUUAAAAAAAAAAACUAAUCAUUAACCUCUAUAGUGCAAUGGUUACAUGUAAUGAGCUGAACAAAAAAAAAUAGUUCAAAAUAUAGUGUGAAUGUAUCUAUCGAUUUGAAAUUUUCUAAUGUUAACCAGAGUAUCUAUGGAUUUGAAAUUAUUGAAUCUAAUUAUUUAUGUUUAUGCUUUCAAGUUCAGUGUGUAAUGUGUUUGUGACACUUCUGAAACUGUUUUAUAACUAUAUUUUAUUUAUUUUGUAUUCAACUAUAUAUCAAAGAAAUAGAAUAUAUAUAAAUUGAAUUAACACAUUUUUGAAUUUCAUACACUGUCAUAAUAUUUAUAUAAAAGGUAAAUUAUUAUUUUUAUGAUUAAAAUUUGAGUAUUUACAUAGCAUAACAUACGAAUUCUUAAUUUAUUAAGUCAAUACUAGCCAACACAAACAAUAUUUAUUUGAAUAAAUUUAAUAAUUACUUAAGUUAGAACAACCUAAGUAAUUUAAGUGUCAGAAAAGAGGACUAUAUAUGAAAGUUAAAAAAUUAUAAAUUAUGAAAAUAUUGACAUACAUGAAUACUCAAAAGAUAUCAGAAACUGCCAACAACAUGACCAACAAGUAUGAAGUUGAAACCAUUCUUAAUAAAUGUAGGAAAGGAAUCAACUCGUAACACAUGACUUAUGAUAACAAGCAUUCGUCGUAGUCUCCACAGCUUUGGAAUGUACUCGAAAACGACAAUACAUGUAGAAGUCGAAUACUAUGAUCAAGUCCAGUAAAAAUCCUUUUCCGAAGUAAUGUUAUUUAUUCAUUUUAGUUUUUAUUUCAAUCUAACUACUGAAAUAAAUAAAGAUGCAGUUAAUAAAUAUUUUAAAAUAAAACAUAUAAUUAUAUUUUUAUUUGGGAAAAAACCAACAUUAAAGAAAAGGAAAUAAACGAAACUAAUUGUUAAAAAACAAUAAAGCAUAUUUUUAGCAAAAAAGAGGAAAAAUAAAUAUUUUUAAUGAAAACAUAAGUAAAUCAACUAUUAAAAAUAAAUAAUAGAAUAUUUUCAUUAAUCUAUAUGGUGAAUAUCCUACUAUCAUACUAUAUAUAUUAAUUGAAAAACCAUUUAAGUAAUUUUUGCUUACAUGUCGAUCAUUAGUGAAGCCUUAAAAUUGUUAUAAUUUGAAUGAUCCAUGAUUAAAAUUUUUCAUUUAUUUUAGUUAAAUCUAAAAAUAACUAGAGAUUUUUUCCGCGCUUCGCGCGGAUUGUGACUUAUAAAUUUAUUUUAUUUAUAAUAUUAUUUGUCAGUCUUUUUCUUUUACAUUAACUUCUUGUUUUUCCAAUAUUAGUUUUUCUUAAUUUAAAUUUAUAUAUUUAUAAUUUUUUAUUUUUCUUGUUGUAGAUGGAGAAUUAUAUUUUUUAUUGAUGGUUUUUUGUAUGUGACAUAAACUUUUUAAAAUUUUAAAAUAAUGUUAUAUAUAGUACGAUUAACACAUUAAAGAAGAGAAACAUAUUCAUGCACAUUUUACACAGGAUUUAUAUGCAUAAUUUUAAACAUUAUAUAUGUAUAUUUUAUAAGUUUGAAACAUGUAAAUGCUUUCUAAAGCUAAAUACUUGUUCUGAGUUUACAUAACUUAUCGAAAGUUUUAUCUCUUUUUAAAUUCAAAUCACAGAAAAAAUCUUCACCUUCAUCAGUCAUCCUUGCCUCUCUCGACCGUAUAAUGCGUGACCGUCUCCUCUCUUACUCGGCAAGUUCUUCUUUCUCCUCUUCUCUACUUCUUUUUUAUAUUUCUUGUAUAAAACCUCUUUAAGGCUUUUUUUACCUUGAGUUGUUGGUGGUUGUUUUUGUUUCCUUGUUGUAAUAGGUUGUUUAAAAACAACAGUGUAACCUUUCAAAAAAUGAUAAUCUUAACAUCUUACCAAAAAAAAAAAACAAAUAUUGACUUAUUUAUGUGAAUAUAUAUUUUAUUUUAAAUAAUUUUAGUGGACGAAGAAAACAUCAUAAUUUGUACAACAAAUUUUCUUAGAUUCACCUCAUCAUACUCACCAUUUUACCAUUUUAAUUAUAUAAUUUUACAUGAGAUUUUUCAUCCUCCCUGGUUAUUUCUCUUUAUUUAUAACUACAAUAUAAAGUUAUAAACUAUAUAUAUAUUAUAAAUUAAUAAUUUAUUUACCCUUGAAGUCUAAUGAUUAAAAAUAGAACAUAAUUCAAUAUAGAUAUAUGAUUCUAUUAAUAAAUUAGCAAUUAUAAAUUUGAAAUUUGUAGAAAUAUCAAAAGUCAUAUGUUAGUUAAUUAUCUUCUAAAUCUAAUGACAUUUAUUUCUAAUUUUUUUUGGAUGUGAAUAUUUUGGCUGAGGUGGAUAGUCCCAAAAGCCUUGAAUUUAGUCCCUUUUAUAUAGUAGGAUAAGUGAGUUUAUAAAAAUUAAUAUUACUUACCAAAUAAUCUACAUAAUAUUACAAAUAAUCUACAUAAUGUUAAUGAUUUAUGGUAACUAAUUAUCAAAAUAUAGAAAGAGUAAUAAUGAAUGAUUUGUUUUUAUAGAAAUUGUAUAAAUGAUUUUAUAAUCGUAUAGAAAUUAUUCUAUUUGUAUAUAAAGUAUUAUAAUAACUAUUAAUGUCCUAUAAAGUCCAUACACGCUUUAUAAAUAAUUCAAAAUUAUAAAAAAAUAUUAUAAAAUUAUUUAUAUUUAGUUAUCAUAAAAUUUUAAAUUAUUAUAAGAUAAUGUAAGUAAUUUAUAGAAGUUUAUAAAUUAAUUUAUAAAAUAUAUAAUUAUGAAAUUAUAAAAUCAUUUGUAAAGGGUUAUGACUCUAUUUAUAGUUGAAUAAAAUAAUUAGAAAGAUUUCUAUAUCGUAUAAAUUGUACUACACAUCUAUUAAAUAUUAAAAUAAAAGUCAUUAUAGUGACUAUUUUGUACGUGUCACUCAUAAUUGAAAUUUAAAAUUAAUACUUUUUGGUUAGCAGUAUUUCUAUUUUUGUUUAAUUAAUUAAAAUAUAAAAAUAAUAACCAUGUUAUACUCUCACCUUUUACAUCCUUAUACCCUCUGGUUGUGGCAUGCUCUAAGAAAGCUCUUGAGUCCUUGGAUGAUGUAUAACUCGACUAUCUUUUACAUCAUGGUCUGAAUGUUGUUACAUUGAGGGUUGUGGUGUUAGAUAGAUAAAGCGUUUAAAUUCUCUGACCUUGCAAUGUCACAUAAUCCACCAGGUAUACUUUCAGUUAGAGACAUUGAGUCAAGGUGACACUCCAUAUAAGUCUGUUGCUGCUCUAAACUGUAUAUAUAAUUCUUGGCUGUGCAAACACAUGGGAUCUUGUUCGUGCUUACUAGAAGUUUGCUGCAAUAAGUGAUUCGUUUGGGCUGAAUCCUAAUAUUGACUCGUACAAUGCGUUAAUAUAUGCAUUUGGGAAGGUCAAGAAGGUGAUGUUUCCAUGUCAUAUGAUUGUCUCUCUUUAAUAUUUUUAUUUCUUUGGAAGAACUAUCACAAGCUUGUUUGCUUUGCAGACUUCUGAGCCUACAAAAGUAUACACUCAGCUGACUGGAAAAGGUUUUAAACCUGAUGCGGACGUAUUCAUUGCUGGUUGAUGCUCAUCUCAUUAACCGGGAUCCCAGGUCAGCUAUGGCCGUCAGUGAUGACAUGGUAAACCAGAAUUGAAAACCGAACCACUAUGGCAGAAAGAUUUGUGUUUUGAGAAACUAAACCAUGGUUUUUGGAUCAACAGAUUAAUGCUGGAUUUGAACCUUCAAAGGAGACAUUGAAAAAUCUAAGAAGGAGAUGUCUCAGGGAACUAGACUAUAAAAAGGAUGCUCAGGUGGAGUCACUGGCCAAGAAUUUUCAAAUCAGGAUGGGAUCAUAGAACCGCAGGAAUAUGCUUUUCAACAUGGAUUACUCCAGGGGGCAUGCAUAAUGCAACGAUAUACCAAAAUGAAUGGUUGUAAAAAAAAACCUCAGUUUCUUGCUACAGAGGAAUCAAACUGUGACCAUGUCAUCAAGUGUGUUUGGUCUUCUCCAUUUUUGCAGAAACUCUUGUGAGGAGCAAGGUAUGAAGCUUAGGUUCAUCGAAUAUUUUAAAGCUAUGGAUCCCGGUGUUUCAUUGAUUCACUGUGUAUACGUUUGAGUCUCUAAUCUGAUUUUUCCAUUACAUGGUUCGUUUUUUCUUAAUGUUGGAUACAAAAAGAGUUGGGUUUAGGAUCGCUAGUCUCUAUGCAGAUGCUUUCAGGCAGCGUUGAGCAAUACAUGUUAAAACUUUUUGAAUAUUCCUUGAUAUCCUUAUAAAAAAACACUUGAUGUUGGGUUUAUUACAAUUUUCAUAAAUAAAGCCUUGUUUCUUGUGUUCAAGUAGUCGUGCCUGAAGGCAAGUUAUACAACCAGUAACACUAACCUGAAAAAUAGAUUCGAAACUCAUCGAAACCGAACCGAAAAUCAAAUAAUAUAUAAAUACCUGAAAUAAAAUUUAUGUACCUUAAAAUAUUAGUUAUAUAUAGUGUUAAACCAUAUAUUAUCUAAAAAUACAAUUCGUAAACUUGAAAAUUUAUGUUGGUAAUAUAAUAAUACAGUACACUAACCACCACGCCUAAUGUUUAUUGAUCUUUGUAAUCCUUGGAUAAUGUAAUUGUGUACCGGUAUGGUUGAGGCUGAUAAACCGGAGGUGAAUUAGAAGGAAGGCGUUUCUAUGGGCCUUGAGAAUUGGCUGGCCCAAUUCAGAAUUAUCACACAACAAACAGUUCACCUGGGAUCAAAGACACGAAACCCUAAACAGACUGAAGAAAGGGGACAAGAUGGGUGGAAGAGAUGACGAAGUUGACAGAGGUAAAGAGAAAGAGAAAGAAGAAGCAGAAGAAGAGCAAGACGGCAUGUCCGUACUCUCUCCCUGCAAAGCUCUACCUUCCUCCGCUUCUUCUCUCUCCAAGGUUUCUCUCUUCUUUUAUCUGCCAUUUACUUACUCAUCUUCUUGUUUAUGUGAUCGUAAUAGUUCUUGGAUUGAUUGAUUCUCAGGAGCAAUCACAGGUUGAACUGGAGCUCACGUUAUUAGAAGCUCUUGAAAUCUAUCCUCCCGUUAAACUCCGAGGCAAGUUUUCUCACAGUUUGUAAAUCUUGAUCCUUAGGCCAAGAAAUCAAGAAAGCAUAAACCUUUUUCUAAUGUGGUGUGGCAGGCAUACAUCGUCACUUUGUUCUUUACGGUCUGAUGGAAUACCUCGGCAGAAGGUUUGUAUGACAUUUUCUUGAGUUCUAAAUUGAUAUUGAUAUUUGUCUGAACCUUUCUCUCAACUAUUUUCUGUCCAUAGCUUUGAUCGACAGUUCACAGCUGAUGAGGUUCUGCAGCUUCUGGAUCGUUUCUACAACAUUGAGAUGCUGGUGAGUUAGUCAUUACAACACAAUCAUUGACUAUUAUGUUCCUAAGUUGCUUCUGUUUUCUCUUCAUAACCUGCUUUAGAGUUGUGCUGAUGGUUUAAUAUUUUAUUAGAAAUCUGAUGAUGAAGACAUUGACAUUCUUAACCACGAAGAAGACUUCACCUUGCCGCAGAGUUACUUUGAUAAGGAAGAACAAUGACAGAAGAAAAAGAAGGAUUACUGGUCUUUGCUUCAUUCUCACCCAUCUUUUUUGUAUGUAGUUGGUUAGGUUUGUCCUCAGCUCUUAUUCUAUAGUAUGCAGUAAUACUAAUAUAGAUAGAACCAUCAGAGCAUUACUGAUUUUAGAGCCAGUGUUGUGUUUGUUUGUUUGGUUAGGAGUUUCUUAUAAUACAGUUGAUUGCUUUGUGUAUUAUAAAUAGUCAAAACAUAUCAGAUCAAUUCACAAUAACAUCAAAGACAUUUGAUAUAAUGAGAUUGACAACAAAAGAAAGAACAAACAAAAAAAAGUAAUUAAGAAAAAAGAACAAUAUAAAAUUUGAAUUCAUUUGUCUCAUCUCCCUGAUGAAGAGUUUAAUCUAAACUCAUUCAACUUCCAAAGCCGCUGAUCAUUUCUGAAACAAAGAAACAAAAAGGCAAACCACAUUAGCUUAGCACAACUUAGACUAAUGUUAAUCAGGUUAAUUACAUCAGUGGCUUCUAUGAUCUUGCAAUGUUCUUGAUUGGGUUCAUCAGACUUGACGUUGUCUUCUCCUAAAAACAAAAGAAAUAUAUUCAUUCUUAAUCUCAGAUAAACCAUUUAAAUCAGGCGUUGUGAUUAUGAGACAGACCUCCAUCCUCAGGAAGAUCAGAAGUCCAGAGGGUGAGAUUGUCUCUCAGGAGCUGCAUGAUCAAAGUGCUGUCCUUGUAAGACUCCUCACUCAGCGUAUCCAACUCCGCAAUCGCCUCAUCAAAGGCUUGCUUGGCCAAAUGGCAAGCUCUGCAACAUUCACAUUAGUUGACACCUGAUGGUAUUUCAUUUAGGUAAUGCUAUUUGUUACAAAAAAAUGAAUUGAGACCUUUCAGGAGAGUUCAUGAUCUCAUAGUAGAAAACAGAGAAGUUAAGAGCAAGACCAAGACGAAUCGGGUGCGUCGAAGGAAGAUCAGUGCUUGCAGCUUGUGUUGCAGCCUAAUCAAAGCUUAAGCCUAUCAGAACCUUUAACAAGUGUCAGAGACAGAACAUGUCUAGAUCAUACCUCAUAGCCUUUGAGCGACUGUUCAGAGGCUUCCUUCCUCUCUUGCUCGGUCUUAAACUCAGCCAAGUAACGGUAAUAAUCUCCUUUCCUACGCCAUUUUCAAAUCAAGUUGAGUUUCAUCUGCAGAUAUAAUGAUCCAAAAGAAGAUUGUUUCUUACAUCUUGUAAUAGAAAACAGUGGCUUCUCCUGAGGUAGCGUGAGGGAUAAGAUGCUGAUCGAUGAUGGAAAGAAUGUCUUUACAUAUAUCAGCGAGCUCGUCUUCCACCUUUUGGCGAUAACCCUUGAUGUGUUUCACGUUCGUCUCGUUGCCUUUAGACUCUUCCUUCUGCUCGAUCGACGACAUUAUCCUCCACGAAGCCCGUCUUGCUCCGAUCACGUUCUUGUACCCAACCGACAACAGGUUCCUCUCCUCCACCGUCAGCUCGCUGUCCACUUUCGCCACUUUCUUCAUCGUCUCAACCAUCUCUGCAAAUUUCAUUACCGUAACUUUGUAACUUUUGAUUCUUGUAAGAUAUUAAAGAAUGUAUUGAUUAACGUACCGUCGUAACGCUCGGCUUGUUCGGAGAGCUUAGCCGUGUAGACGAAUGUCUCUCUUUCUUUGUCGGAUCCUGACGACAUCUUUUGUCACGAUAAUGUGUCGGAAACAGAGAUCUUGGUUUCUGUGGUGUCGGCAAAGAGGGGAGAAGUAAGUAUAUAAUAAGAGGUUUGAAGAUGGUUCGCGAAUGGCGGAAGAAGACUGAAUCUCAACCUUUAGAUCCGAGGUGUCUAAGUGUCUGCGCAAUUCUUGGCUUUUCCUGCAAUUAUUUAUAACUAACUUAACGAACUUUUAGCUCCUUUAUGACGUCGUAUGUACGUAAUAUAAUAUUUUGAACGGUUGGACAUAAUAUAUCAAUUGGGGAUGUAGCUCAAAUGGUAGAGCGCUCGCUUUGCAUGCGAGAGGCACGGGGUUCGAUCCCCCGCAUCUCCAUUUUUUAAUUCCCUCUGCUGCUCAAGUGCUCACAGCCUCACACUCAAAGUGGUUUACCCUAAUUUUCUUCCAUUUAUAGUAUUUAAUUAAGGGAAAUUAGGUUGGAUAACUACAAAAUAAAGCAUAAUUCAAUAUCUAACCAAAAAAAAAGUACAUCCAUUACUUCUAUAAUAUAUACUAUAUUACCCUUCGUAUCCGGUUAAUGAAAUAUUAAAAUACCUUCUUCUUCUUCUUCAGUUACCAACCACCACGGCUCUUCUUCCAUCACCACCAUACAUUGUCUCUGACUCUCUGCUUCAUAUAUCGUUUUUAUGCUACGUUUCUACUUCUAAACUUUAUAGACCACAACGGUGUUAUGGUCGAGACGCCUUCGAUUCUCUUCUUCACAUCAUCGAUUUAUGUUUAGAUCAGUUGAAAUACUAUAUGAUAUUUUGUUUAUUGCUAUUCUAUUUUAAUAAUAUUUCAUACUAUGUACUAUUUACAUAUUUUGAUAUUUGGGUUAGGGUUUAUAUUUACCUUUUAGGGUUUAGUGAUUACUAUUUUGGGUUUAGUUUAUGAAAGGGGUUGAUGUUAGGAUAAACAUUAUCUGAUGCCCCGCUAUUUGAUAAUUUCAUUGUUUCUUCCAUAUCUAUUUAGUUUCCAUUCUAUUUAGUUUUCAUUCCAUUUAGUUUGUUCCAUACCAUUUUGUAAUCUAUGCUGUAAAAGGCCAUUACUUUGUCUCCAUCUACGACAAAUUUUUUUCUUUUGCCACAACGACGACCACCACGGCAUAACAACAGUAUCUACUGCUACAAAAAAAGUCAUUGUUUCUUCCAUAUCUAUGACCGUAACUUCCUCUUCCUCUGUAACUACUACCAUGGUCACCACCACCGUAAACACCAUCAUCGCCUAUGCCAUAAACACCAUCACUGUAACAACUCUUUUUAUUUUAUUUUUUCAUUUAGUGACACAUGAUCUUUAUGUGUUAUCACCGUCUACCGUCUUAGAAAAAGGAGAAAACCGGAAGAAAGAGAAGAAAAUGAUAGGAGAACUAAUUAUGUCAACAUCAAUGCCAUAUUCUUAAUUUUGCUCUCAAAAUUGGCUAGUACACAAAUUAACCCUUUACUUAAUUUAAAAUAUUUGUUUUUUAUUAACUGUUUUUCUUUUAUACUGUUAUCUCGGAAAAUUAUGAGCAUUGUCUUCGUUUCUACUUGGAGAAUGAUCAACAUCGAAAACCCAAUUCGGCGAUUCUUUCUUCUCCCAAGAGUUCACUACCGAGUUGACUCAUCCAGAAGUAUCUCCAACUACCAUAAUCAUUCUCCGAGAAGAUGAUUUUCUUUUCGGUAGAAAAUCUUAUCCGCAUAAAUUAAAUUAAAUCUACGAAGUUAUCUCAACUGAAAAUAUAAAUUAAAUAAAUAAAAAAAUUGUGCGUCUAAUGGAAAAUUUACAACAACACAUAAAAAUAAAAAUCAAAAGAAACAAUGAAACAAUCUAAAGAUAUUUCAACGACAAAAAAUUCUAAAGAAACAGUUUAGAAACUACAACUUGCUUUUGAGAUUUCAUGGAGGAUGAAGAAGAAAACAUUCACUAACAUAUUUUUGGGUUUUAAUUAAUAUUUUUAUUAUAAGUUGGUUAGAUCGUAAUUUUAUGUAUAAGAGGUCCACACAGAAUAGAAGAGACUGUUUGAGAUUUUUUUGUAUGCUUAGAAGACUAAAAGAGAUUAAAUCCUGAUUUGGCCUAGAUUUUUUUUUUAACUCACAAAAGGUUCAUUAACUAAACUAACACAAAUCCAUUACUUCUUACACAAAAGAACAGACCCACUAGUUUUUAGACCAUCAAACUAAUCUAUUAAAAUUCACAAAUCAUCAAUUAUCAAGUUGAACCUCCCAAAAAGCAUUUCCUUCUUCCAUCUCUUCUCAAAUAAAUGUUUUGUAUGUAUAGGUACCUUCCACAAACCAAGUUUGACACAAGCCAUGCAACAUGGAAGCCUAUCUGGAAGUUUGAGCUUGCUCAUUGAAGUUGAGCUAAGAAUAUAGUUUUUCAUUUGUUUCAUAGAUCUAUGACGGUGACAUCUUGUUGAGAACAUUUUGACAUUUGUCACUAUAACUAGUGUAAGAGCAGGAGUCUCAUCUUUUUUCUUCAAACGAUGUACAUAAAUUUUCUUUAAAAUAUAUCGAAUAGAAUCAGCUAAAAUAGAACAAUUUUCGCACAAUCAAUAUCUUUUGGGUGCAUAUCUGAAGGCAACUUUAGGUUUAUCAUAUAACGGAUAACUUUCACCACAUAAAUACAUGUGAUUGAGAAGAUACUUGGGAUUAACAUGUCUGAGUGCAUUGGUGAUGACUCUUGGCAAUAGAUCAUAUUCGUUUUGACAAGAUAAACAUGUUUUGUUGAGAUCCCAUUUGAUGUUGAUUUAUUAGUAUAAACAAAAAAAAUCAUACAUGUUAGUAUAAUCCUAUGCAAAAUUUCCUCUCCAUUUCCGUGGAGACUUUCUAUCUCUAGACUGAUUUAAUUUUUCCAGUUACUAACUAUCAUGAACUCAAAACUAACACAUUUGCUUCGAGAUUCACUGCAUAACAUGAAAAACCGAACUGGAACACACAUACACAUAGUCGAAUGGUUUUAUUUCCUUAUACUUGUGAAAACUAAAAUCAAAGUAAAACCAAAUCGAAGAUCGAGUAAGUAUUCAGAUAUCUGAUAUACAAUUAUACACAUAAAAGUAAUAGUUAUAUAUAUUGUUAAAUAAUCAUCUAUCUAAAAGUACAAAUUUAAUUAAAAUUAAUCAUUUUUGUCAAAAUAAAAUAAAAUCAUAUUUCUCAUUAAACAAUACAAUAUUUACAUAACUUUUUAACUGAAAUUAGUUUGUAUUGGGUGAAACGUGAAACAAAUAUCAAUCGCGAUUACUCAUAAUAAAAAGUUUGUGUGUUUUAUACUAAAUUUUAUAAUAUGAAAAGCAAAUGACACUUGAAACAUAAUUCGUUAAUUAAAUGUCAUAAACAAGUUGUGAUUUUAAAAUAAAUUGUAAAUUCCAAAAUAAAUCAUAAUAAUAUUAUGUAAUAUAAAAAACUAUAACAUAUCAGAAACAAAGAAUAAAUAAAUAUGGUAAAAAUUAGACAAAAAGAAAGCUUGUAUUCAUAAACUGAAGAAAUUAUUGUGAUCUUCAUGGAGUGAUUGGAGAAAUUUGUGCCUCCUUAUGUUCAAAAUAAACAUGUUCAUUUUAAUAUAAAAAUCCUAAUAAGCAUAGCCCAAAAUAAAACAUUUUAUUGAUCAAAUUCAAACAAAUAAUCGUCAACCUCUUGUACACUAUUGAUUUGUACAAUGGUUAUACAUAAUAACAUGAAGAAAAAAAAUUGGGUUUUGCAGUCGCUAGUCAAACUGACUGUCAAUACAAACCGUAAAACGGCCUGGUGGAUUCCAAUCAAAAAGACAUUUUGGCAUGUUAUGAUUGGAUUAAAAUGCAUGCCAUUAUUUUUUACAGUUAAUCUACUCUAAUGAUAAAAAAAAUAUUGUAAUCUCAUAUAGAAAAGGACACAAGUCUACAAAACAUGACAUAUUUUACACAAAAUCAUCAUAAAAUUUUGAAAACUAUAAAAUAGCUCAUAUUGUUAUUUUAAUAGCUUUUAAAUUUGUCAAAUUUCAGAAUAAAAUGAAUAACCCCACUUACAAAAAUCUUCCUAUUUGUUAUAUUGAUGAGAGAUGAUAAUCGACCAGAGAAUACUGAACUUGAGGGAUAGUGAGCUUACUAAUAUGAUAUUGGUUAAAACGACUCAAAUACUCAAAAAACUAUCCUGAUUAGGGUUUUCUGAUUUAGGGGAUUUUGAUUUUUUGACUCCAGCUUAAGCCUCUGAAACGCCGAAGUUUCAUAUUUCAUAUUAUUUGGGUCUAGUUUGGUCUUAUCCUUCAUUGUCUGAGCUUAUAUCUUUAGACAGGUAAAUGAGCUCCCGUUUAAACAUUCUAGACAGCUUGGCUUUAGCGAUAAGUCAACGUAGUUUGAAGAAGUUGUUCCACGCUAUACUUUUACCCCAGGUGAAUAUUUACUUGUAACUAUUAACUUGUUUGUGGACUUUUAAAUGUUAAUUUUUUAAAGGACCAUUUUCUGUCAUGUGACUGAAUCAUUUCUUUUGAAUGGAUUAUUUUAACAGUACUAAAUGAGGGAGGUGAAACAUUUGAUGAAGAUUGCAAAUUGCAAUCUUCAUUAGGAAUGGCAAUUGGGACAACCCGCCCCGCCGUGGCCUGCCCCGCUGCGGUCUCUAUCUCUGGCAGAUCUUUGCGGGUCAGCCCGCCGUAACCCGCGGUUCCCAAACCUCUACCCAAACCUGCCCCGCUUGCUACAUAGGAAUUUGCGGUCCGGCCCGUGGGUAGUGAAAAUGCAGUCUUCAUUAGUUCUCUUCUUCUCAUUGACCUUGAGACAUCUCAGAACUCAUCGCAAAUCAAACAGUUUUCAGAAAGACAGAAAAAGAAAAAAUGGAAGUGAUGAGCUUAGCUGCUCCAUCUUCGCAAAGAAAAUUCACUGGCUGCUUCUUAAGCGCACCAAUAAGCCCACGAAGAACCACAGAGUGGUACAAGGAGGAGGCAAAAAUAAACUUCUCCGAACGUUCUUUGAUUCCUUUCGAUUGGGAAGAGAAUCAAGGCAAUCCGAGGAAGAUCACUGACAAUGAAGAAGAUACUGUUGAUGAUAAACAAAAAGUUAAGAGUUUUACGAGAGUUUCCCAUGAUAGUUUGCCUCUGUUUCUCUGUUUGAAGAGAUCGUUACCGUCACUGCUGAUAGUAUCGCAAACAACUUGUAGUUACGAAACACGUUGUAGAGUUGUAGAGUUGUAGACUCAUCAGAGAGAAUAACUGAAAACUUCAACUAGAUACUAAUGAUGGCCUUAUACUAGACUAUUUAACUUUUGAGUUUUGAAACUAAUGAAUAUCAUGUACGUACCAUAAAGAUAAGCUCUAACGUAGAUGAAACUAGUAGCAAACUAUGGGAGAGAACAUUAUCAAACAUUAUAAGUUUAUAACUAUCACUAGUGGUAUUCCGGCGCUACGCGCCGGGUUCGCAUGUUUUAUUAUUAAAUGAAUUACGGUUUUAUAUUUAUUUAGCUUAAUUUUGACAUUUUAAAUAUUUUGAUCUGUUUUUUUUCUGAGAUUUUCUAUAUGUUUUUGUUUGUAUUUUUUAUCAUACGUGUUUUCUAACAUUUGUACUAAUUUAAUUAUACUCUUUCUCGUUGUUAGUUUUAGCUGAGUGAAGCACAUCGUUAUCUUCGUAUGAGUUUGAUUAUCUUUCCCUGUACAUUAGUUGAAAUAGGACUAAUGUGUCUACAGUAGGAUCUUAUCUUUGAUAUAUAAGUAUUUUAUAUAUUCAAUCUAUUUUUUCUUUCAUCUGUAUUUUUUUGUUUUUUUUUUGUAUGUAGUUUUAUAUUGUAUAUGUUGUUCAUAGUAUACAAUUAUAAAGAUUUUAGUGCCAUGUGAAUUUAGAUAUUAGACUUCAUAUAUUUUGGUGUUCAAAGAAAAAAAGACUUCAUCUAUCUUUAUUCAUUGAAUAUGUAAAGUCCGGUUUCUGACAUUGGAUUUGAUACAAUAACCUUCACUGUGUUAUUUACACCAUGAGUACACUUUUACAGGUUGUGGCUUAUAGUAGUAACAUAAGAUACCAUGAGUACACUUUUAUAGGUUGUGGCUUAUAGUAGUAACAUAAGAUACAUAUGUUUUAUAGGUUGUCACGGUGACAUAUAAAUUUUUUAAGUUCGUGCACGAAAUUUUUGCAUCAGUAUCCUAAUUAAUAUCUUUUGAAAAAGUUGAAAGCUCUUAUAGAAAAGCAAGUGAAAUUUAAUGGUGUAAAACUAUAAUACGUUUUGCGGCUUUGUUUUCAAAUAUUUUGCUCCUUGUCAACUUAGUUUUCUUAUUGAUCUUAGACCUAUAAUGUUUUCCAAACUCCCUUUUAGAAUUGUCUAUUUCCCCUCACAUAUUCUUGGAAUCUAAAAGCAAAGCCAAAACUCACCCUUUGUAACUCAGACAUCAAGUUAUAUAUGACAUUGCAACAUUACAUAUUAAAGAUUAAUAAAUUAUAGCUUGGAAUCGAGAGAGAUGGCUUGGAAACCAUAGCUUGAGAAUCACAAUCUCUCGUUCCUAGGUGAAGAUGUUAUGCAGCUGAAUUCUUGGGUAUAUGAGUAUAUUCACCCAUCAGAGUAGCUACAUUGCAGGUUGAUCGAGACAGAACAUUUAUUCAAUCCCAAAAAAUCUCUUCUCUAAAUGACAGCUACAUUUAUCUGGUAGUAGGGAUAAAUGACGCAACAUACAUCUGGUACGGAUACUUAAGCGGUGUUACGGAACUGGGUGUAAUCUAGAAAAAUCAUUCAGCGUCCCUUAUUAGAUCCGCUGCAAAGCAGAGCAAAGCACAUCAAAUCAACCGAUGGGCGGACUUGAAACUCCAAUUGUUUCAACCAAAAAGAUUAGCUCGUGCUAAACUUUUGUAAAUUUUGGUUCAUAGGUGAUAUAAAGAUUGAUACAUUGUUGGUUUCUGAAGUAAUACCUGACCAGGCAUGACUUCUCCAUUGAUCCGUACUGGUGUUAAUUCCGGCAUACAAACAUUCCUUGAAGUGAGAAUCAACGAUGUCCCUUCCCUUCCAAAAGACUUGUCAGCUCCAACACUACAAUGGUAUGGUCCCUGAUAUAGAUUGUUUUGUAUAAACAUCAAAACAGAAAAUCAAAGAAGAAUGAAGUAAAAACCCCUAGAAAGGGAAAUGAACAUCAGAGGCCUUACUAUAAGAUCACUUCACUGUUUUUCCCAGGAGCUUCACCAGUGUUGGAACAAUCAUAGUUCCUUUUUAGGAAUUUUGAUGGUUGGGUUGCAGGUCCAGGGAGAGUGUAAAGGUAAACCAAACAGAGAUCAGUAAGCUUUGUCAUUCUGAUUCUAUUUUACAGGAAAUUUGCUAAAUUUUUUGUCAACGUGUAAAUAAAACAAAACGAUUACCUUGGCUGUGCUUCUCAUGUUCACUCCAGAACCACCAACCCUGUUUUGAAAGAUCUUAGAAACCCGAAAUUUAAAAGUAAAAAUAAACAGAACACAUAACUCUUUUUUUGUUGUUCAAGAUGCAAUUAUCAAGCAACUAACCAGUGAGAAUGACAAAAACAUUGGAUUUUAAAACUAAACUGCAGAAAGAGAGAUGAGGAAAAAAAGUUACUGAUAUUGAGUACAAAAGCCAAGAAAUGGAAAAACUAAUUCAUUAAAGGAGAAUAUUGUAUGGCAAAAUAAUCACAGAAAUGAUACCGAAAGAAUCUUUUUCGUUGGAGGAGCUUUUGAGCAGAGCUUAGUUUGACGACUUUGUUUCCCUGACAAAGAACAAUAGAUUUUGGUUAAGAACAUGUGUUAAAAAGUUUUGAUGAAACAAAUAGCCAUAACAAUUAUUUUGUUUCUCAAUUCCCAAAUUACAAAAUAUUGGUGAAUAAGAAAAAUGGUCUCUUACGAUGACUGGUUUCAGUAAUCUUAAAGGAGCAAGACGAUGCACAUGAAAAAUAUCUCAUCUUCUGCAUAUAUAUAAUCCCCUGAGAGAGCUUGAUAAUAAGGCAUUAAAGAUGAUGUAGUGGGUAUCGUUGAUUGAAAGCCAUUAGUGUGGACGUUUCUUAAACGCAGCAAAGGGAGGGGAAGCGGAACAGUAAAGUCUUAGCAGAGGAGAUCGACGGCGUUCUCCGUCGUAUCAGGCUGAUCAGGGUGGGGAGAAAUGGGCUACAAAUGAACGGAAAGAAGAUUUGGGCCAGAUAAUAAAAUUGUAUCAAAAAGUUGGUCCACUACCAGAAUAAAGUCAGAAAGCGAGAAUCAUCUAAAAAAGUUGUACACGUGUCCAGAUUUGCCCAUAUCAUCUUGAGGACGUGGAGGAAGGAGGAGAGAGGCAAGCCUCCUUUAUUGUAUAAAAUUAUCAAGCAACUUAUAAGACAAAUGACAAUAAACAGUAAGACUUUAAAACAAUCAAAGUUUCAAACAAAACAGUUCAUACAUAAAAAAAAAACAAAACUGAUAAAGACACGCGGGUCUCGAAUGCCCCGCAAACCCGCGUCGACCCGCCCCGCAUUGGCCCAUACCCGAAAUUGACCAACCCGCAAGACCCGCAAUAUCUCGGGCCUAAGAUUUGUAAACCUAAACCCGCCCCGCAGUGGGACUUUACGGGCCAGGCGGGUUAAGGUACCAAUUGCCAUCCCUAAUUGCAAAGGGGAAGAUGCAACUCACUCUCCUCGUUCUGAAAAGUGUUUUGAGCUUGGUCUUGUACCUCCAAGACCAGAGACUUUCUAUUCUUUCCUCUUGGAUCAACCUGCUAGAUCAUCAAGCCAUAAUUCCUGAAUGGGAAGGUUGUCUGAAUGUGAACCUAGGAUCUUCAGCGACAACAAAGCUUUCUGGUACAUGCGUUGUACCCAUGCCGGCUUUGAACAUGCCUGAAAAUAUAGAUGACAUAGUCGGGAAAGGCAGAGAAUUCUGUGUCUGCCGUGACAGGGGUUCUAUAAGAUGUGUGCGCCAACACAUCAAAGAAGUUAGGGAAGAAGUGGUUAAGAUACUUGGAUUUGAGAAGUUAGGAGACAUGGGCUUCUGUUAUAUGGGAGACGAAGUUGUAAGGAGCUGGAGCGAUGAAGAUGCACUAAGUUUUCAUGAGGUUGUUUAUUCCAAUCCCAUGACAUUAGGUCAAAACUUUUGGAAGCUGCAUUUUUGUCCCCUACUAAUCACGAGAUUGUUAGCUUCUACUUUAACGGUUUUGUGCUCAGACGAAGGGCCACACAGAACAGGUGGUUCAUGUUGGACAUUGAUAGUGACGAUGAUGAAUGGCAUGAAGGUUAUGGAGCACCUUUGGGUACUCAAUAUGUCAAGAAAAAGAAGACUUUGCUAUUGAAUCUCCUCUUCAUCAUCAAGGCAUUGACAAAUUCAAUGAGGAAGUGCAUCAACUCUAUCACCAAGAAGAUGCCAGUAUUAGUGACAAUGAUGAAGAUGAUAAUAUCGAUACCAGAGAAGAUGGUUACAAGAUGAAUAAUAAGUAUGUGGAUAAAUUUUCCCGGUGCAAUGAAGAGAGACUGAACGUGGAAGAUGAAUCAUGCACGCCCUUUGAGCUUGCACAUGAUGCGGUGAUCUCUAGCUAGACAAACUAUGCAAAGAAAGAGGAGAUUGGUAUUGGAGAUCAACAAAAGUUGUGUAAUGAUGCGAAAGUUUCACCAAAUGGAAAAGAUCUUUAACCAACCGGGAGCACCAUGGAGGAGAUAUUUUGGUAAUGGAUUCUGGGAAAACAAGGCAAUGAUCAAGGAACAAGUGAAGAAAGCAACAUCGUUUUCAACCACUUGCUGAAUACUAUGAGAUUUGUUGGGUUAUGGAGUCCUCCUAUUUAAAAGUAGAGAGAGGUUUCUUAAAAGAAAAUGAAUUAUCUCAUGUGGAAUAGGCUGUUGUUUUCACUUUUCUUGGGGCCGUCUUUUCUCAAAAUGAUGUUACCUAGAAUAUGUCAGAAUCCUUCUGAUUUGCACUUAGGAUUGUAUCUCCUUUGACCUUAAAAUAACUUUGUACAGCAAGUGUGAAGGCAAAGUCUGUAAAGAUGGAGUCUUUCUUUACAAGUAAGCUUGAGAAAUAUUCAAUGCCACAAAGUUGGGUUGUUGCUUUAGAAUAGGAGAAAAUGUGGCAGAGAAGACGAGCUAAUGAUGUUUAAAAGGCUUCUUUGUUGGUUGUUUGGACGUCGAGAAGUCUCUGUGUUGGCCCCAUGGUUUGUUUGUUAUACCCACUUAUCUGAAUUGAGUUUCUACUGAUUUCAGUUCAGUGUACUGAAAGAAUAUAUAUAUAAUUUUAAUUUAAGGAAACAAGAAUCCUUAAAUUAAACUUUCUGCGGAUUGUGCAAUUUCAAGAUUUGAGGGAUAGUAAUGAGUGGGCUAAAUAGAUCUGAACCGUCCAGUAACCUUUUAACAUAUCUUUUUUGGUUCCAUGCAUGAACUUAACAACAACAACAAGACACCUAAGAGAUGGAGAGAGAAUAAUAAGGAGAGUGCGUGUUGUGUUGAGAGAGAGGAAUAGAUCCAAAAACGCAGCUGACCUUUUGAUUACUCUUUUUUGGUUGGCAACUAUACUUCUCUUUCUAUUUUGCUCCAAACUCAAAAACAAAUCGCUCUGAACUUGAAGAAUAGAUAACUGUGGAGUUUACAAAGUUUGUUCUUUUUUUUUUUAUUUCUCUCCUUGUUAACUUUAAGGUCGGAUCUUUGUACUACUUAGACAGAGAGAGAACAACAACUGUCACAUCCCACAAUCUGAUCGCUAAGAAAGCAUCAACCUUUCCUCUGCUUUUCUUUUGGCUCUGUAGCAUUUGAGUUUUGUCGGUUUGUGCAGCAUUUUCUCAAGAGAUUUGAGGUAAAUUCAUCAGCAACAAAAGUGGGUUCUUCUUGCUACUCUUCCCUUUACUGUGCUUUCGUUUCUCUAAAGAAAACAUUUUCUUAUUGUCUCUCUGCUUGUUUGGUGUUUGAUCAUUUGUCUAAGAGAAGAUCAAAUCGAAAUGGAGAAGAAGUAUGUGUGCAAGUUCUGUAACAAGAAGUUCCCUUCUGGCAAAUCACUUGGAGGUCACAUCAGGAUUCAUUCCAACGACUACUCAGUUGCUUCUGAUAGUUUCAACGGCAAGAAUCCUAAGAUGAAGAACAACAACAAGAAGAGGUUGGUGGAACAUAAACAACUUUGUUGCGGAGAAUGUGGUAGCAAUCACAUGGAUUGUCACUGUGUGGUAGAGAAGAUGGUGAUGGAUAGCCAAUCUGAUACUGAGACUACUUCCUCGGCUCCUACCAGGAAAAGAUCCAAGAAGCUGAUGAAACAAUCCAAUUCAGAAUCUUUUAGCUCGUCUUCUGCUUCUGAGAUUGACCAAGAACACAAGGACACUGCUUUGUCUCUGAUGAUGAUGUCUAUAGAUUCUAAAGGACAUAACUUGAUGGUGAACUCUCUCGCUGAGUCAUCUGAGAACAACUCUGAGAUUCUGGAGACAAAGUCUUCUUCAGGGGAGCAGCUAAACGUGAAGAAUCAGGGUUUAAAGACUGAUAAAGUUGCAGUUGAUGACCAAUUGAGAUCUGCCAAUGAUGCUGAUUCAUAUAGCUCUGAUUCUGAUUACUUCAUGAAUGGCCCAAAGAAGUCAGACUCAGAUAUCUCUGUUGAAGGGUCUCUCAGGAACACUGAACUCAACAGUUUCAAGAAUGGUGAUGAGCUUGGGGUCAAGGAGGGAGGAUCAAAGUAUCAGCUGCGCAAAAGCAAAAGGGUCUUGCCUUCUUCUUAUGAAAGUGAUUCUUGUGCAGACAGAAACAUGAAGAUUCAUAGGUCCGGUGAUUGCAAGAUGGUUAAGAAAGCUGUUGGUGCAAACAGAAGUAGCAAAGUUCACGAGUGCCCCAUCUGCUUCAGAGUGUUCAAAUCAGGACAAGCUUUAGGUGGUCACAAGAGAUCACAUUCCAUUGAGAGCCAAGAACAGAGGAUCAAACACAAAGCAGCAGUUGAUAUGCGUAUCGAUCGCAAUCUCCCUGCUCAUGAUGUUGAUGUAUGAAUCAUAACCUGAAUCAAAUGUUUUUUUUAUUUUUAUUUUGUUCAUAUAAAGUUCUAAACUUAGCCAAUUCUUUUCUUUAUGACUUCUGAGUGUUGAUAUAAAGCUACACUCUUUAUCUGAUGAACUCUUCUUAUCGGGCUUUAUAAAUACUUUGGUGGACACUUCUUUAAAGACCUGAGAUAGAUAGCUUGUGACCCACGAAACAAGUAUAUACACGCUCUUGUUUUUCUUGAACUGAAUUUUAUACACAUUCACGUACAAAAUACGUAACACGAGAUCACUUCUACGUAUUACAAAUCAUGUAGAUAAGCUACCGAAAGUGAAAUAAAUCGAUGGGAAUGUAUAAUAAGGUCACGGGUUUUGAUAUUUAUAUCAAUGAAAACGAUCUAACAAGGACCCACAAAACCCCAUAUCAUAACGUCGAAUCAUGUGCAUCGUCUGCGUUGCAUUAAAACCCACUUUGCUCUUUUCCCUCUUUCUGUCAAGUUUAAAACUUUACCUUCUCCAAGAAACCUUCUUACCUUUCUACUCUCUCUCCUCGCAUUAAGCAAUGUCGUCGACUUACCUCAAACGUCCGAUCAUGAUCUCAUCUCUCAUUCUCUUCAUCGUUUUCAUUGCUUCCCCAACCGUCGAAGAAAACCCGAAGGAAUCAAGAAACUUCCAUUACCGAACCCACCCAUUGGCCCCGAGGGUUCACCACCCGUAUGACGUGAGUCCUCAGGGUUCGUGCGACUCCUUCACUCGUCCAUACGCGCGUUCUAUGUGCCUUGAGCUUCAAAGAAUCCACCGUAGCACCAAGAAGCAGCCACUUGUUCCCCCUCCUCCGCCGGAGAUUGAUCCAAGGUACGGCGUCGAUAAGAGACUCGUCCCCUCCGGUCCAAACCCUCUUCACAACUAAAAACCCUAUCCCACAGUUUGUAUACAUAUAUAUAGAGAGAGAGACCUUAGUUACAUAUUUUAUAUAGUUAACACAUUUGUUGGCGUUUCUUGAAGAUCUGUGCCCGAAGACGAAAGAUUCAUUUCUUCUUUGCGGGUCUUUCUUGAAUCUUGAUUCUACUCUCUUGAUCAUCUUAAUGGAGUCCUACGUACGUAACGUUAUGAGGGAUGUAUUGUUGCUAUUUCCACGCUUGUUUUUGAAGACUAGUAGAGAGUGAAAACAAUCUUGGAAAUAGUGUGCAACGUCUUUCUUUUUUAUUUAUUUUUAUGUUUACAUAAUGUGAAACUUUAAAAAAAUAAAUGCAGGCAAAAAGAUUUAGAUAUUGGUUGUAAGAGAGGGGAGAAACACAUGAGUUCCAUUAAUUUGGGAGCUGUAUAUUAUUAUGUAACUUCGAAGUCACGGCCAAUAUUGGUCUAUGAAUAAAACUUUUAUUUGAAGUUCUUGAUGGGCCAUAUGUGUAAUCCUUAUGUCUGCUCUUCUCUCGUGUGACAUCUCACUGUAAAGAUGCUCAAAUUGCUUGUCUCUUUGACUUUGUCAAUAUACAAAAACAAAAGGAGUCUUUAGUCUAGUUGUAUAACAUAUGUUCAUUACGAGCAACACUAGUAAUCUCAUCUCUCCUACAAUGAAUGAAAUUAGUGGAUUGGGUUGUUGUGUGAACCAAUAGGUUUUUUUAGAACUGCAAAAAUAAGGUGAAACAGAAAAGGCAACAAUGAAAGACAGUGACUACAAGUUUUGGAAAAAAUGAUGAACAUAAGUGACACAUGAGAGUUGUAAAGAGAACUUUGGUGAUAACAUGAAAAUAAGACAAACUUGUUACAAUUACAAGGAUAGUAAGAUAAGUUUUGGGUGCUCCACUAAAAGAAAAAAAAAAGAAUUGUGAAAGACAUUAUUAAUACCCAUUUUUUACUCUUUUUAAAAUGGUGAAGGGUAUUUUAAAGUAACAUUAAGCUGAUACAAACCAUAUAGUCUAGUCUAGACUACUUCUUAUUUAUCUCAAUAGGAAAAAAUGCAUUUUCGAAAUCUGAUUAAAAUUUUCAUUUUUUUCUUUCUUAUUUCAUCUCCAACCCCAAAAAGAAAGCAAAUCUCCUAACUUUAGAUAUUUCAAAGUCUGUUUUAUUUGUUUCCUGUUUUUGUGUUCUCUCUUUUGCUUGAUGGUAGGAUCUCAAGUUAACAAGAUAGGACUGUUACAUUCCCCCAAAACUGAUCGCUAUCAGAAAGUAUCAAGCUUUGAGCUUGAUGAUUCUCUCUUCCCCUUCUCUCUCUUAGCAUCUGGGGAGUUCAGUGCUCCUUCCAAGACUUGAGGUAAACCAGACAAAUGGGUUCUCACUAACUUUCACUUUCUGAUCUUUGCUUAUAUAGUGUUUGAACAUCUGUCUUAAUUAAAGAUGGAGCUGUGCAUUGAGAAGAGGUUUGUGUGUAAGUUCUGUAACAAGAGGUUCGCUUGUGGGAAAUCACUGGGAGGUCACAUCAGAACUCACAUGAGCAACAAGAACUCAGCUGAUUCAGAUGAGGAUGAACACACUAAGCUCAUGAUCGAUGAAAAUGGAGGUCAGUCUAGCUACGGUCUGAGAGAGAAUCCUAAAAAGAACAAGAGGUUUGUGGAUCAGAGAGAGAUGAUGGCUCUGAAACAUCACCAGCAUCAACUACAACUUCUUUAUUGCAGAGAAUGUGGUAAAGGUUUCCCUUCUUCAAAAGCUCUUUGUGGUCACAUGGCUUCUCACUCUGAGAGAGAGAAGAUUGUGAUGGAUAGUCAAUCUGAUACUGAAGCUUCUUUGUCAACUAUAAGGAGAAGAUCCAAGAGAGCUGUGAAACAUCAUCAUGGUAGUAGCAUCAUGAAUCAAUAUGACGCAGCAUCUUCUGAUGAGUCUGAGAUUGAGCCGGAACAAGAGCAAAUGGCAUUGUCUCUGAUGAUGCUGUCUAGAGAUGAUUCAGGUUUCAAGAAAGGACAUAACUUGGUUGUGAACUCUUUUGCUGAGUCAUCAGACAACAACUCUGUGAUUCUUGAGACUAAGUCUUCUUCAGGAGAACAGCUGAGGAAGAUCUUCAAGGUGAAGGAGUCUUGUAAGAAAGACAAACUUGGAGUAGAAGUUGACCAUUUGAGAAAUGGUGAGGACAAUGGUUAUGUUUCAGAUAACUCUGAUUCUGGCUACUUCAGGAAUGGACCAAAGAAGUUGGACUCAGAUGUUACUGUUGAUGGGUUCCUCAGGAACAAGGCUGCAAUGGGAUUCAACAGCUCAGAGGAUAAGAGCUUGAACAGAUUCAGGACAGGAUCAGAUCGUUCUUCGACAAAGUAUGAUCUGAGGAAAAGCAGAACAAGCUUUCCUACUUACGGUCGGAAGAAAAUGAGGUAUGAGUUCACGGAAUCAGUGUAUGACAGUGGUGAUCAGCAUAGCUUGGAGACUGAAUCUUGUGCGGAGACAAUCAAGAUUCGUAGUAAACCCCCAAUGGUUAAGAAAGCAAAGAAGAAAAGCAAAGGUCACGAGUGUCCGAUAUGCUUCAGGGUGUUUAAAUCAGGACAAGCUUUGGGUGGUCACAAGAGAUCACAUUUCAUUGGGAAUCAUGAACACAGGACUUUGGUUAUCCAACAACACCAAGUGGCUCAUGAGAUGCAUACCCUCAUCGAUCUCAAUCUUCCUGCUCCUAUUGAUUAAUGAAAUCACUAGUAACAGCAAUUUUGUUACUCAUUGUUAUUGUUAUUGUUUCCUCUCUGAUUUUAUUUUCUUGUUGCUUCAGAUUCAAGAAUACUUUUGGUUCGGAAGGUAAAUCAAUUUUUUUCCUAUUUUAUUUGUUCAUAAUCAUAUCAAGAACCGGUGAAGUUGACCAAACUUUGCUAUCUUUUGCUUUCUGAAUCCUCAUUUCUUGACCCCCAAGAAAGGUUUUUAUGAUACUUCUUGCUAUAUCUUUGAAUAUGUAUCAUGCUAAUUCAUGGAUAUGUAUAGCAAAAGUGUUGCUGCAAGCAAACUAUGUUUUACAUUAUAGCUUAAAUUUAUGUUUAGGUAGGGUGUAUUAAUCUCUGAAUCAUCAAGACAUGUAAUCUACUUUUGUUCAAAUCAUAUAUUUUACCUUGACAUCAAACAUUGACAGCAAUUAACAUAUCUAUCUGUUUUAUAACCAACCAAGCUUUAUAUAAUACAAAGCAAAUCAAGUUUGGCCACAUCUUACAGAAGACGAACACUAGAUAUACAACACGAUCCCCCCCGCUCCCCCCCAACAAUUAAAACAUAAUCUAUUGUAUAGUAAUUGUACUCUCUUAUAAUGUUCCAAGUUUUGAUACGUUCUGAUAGUUUUCCCCCUGAAACUAUCAUGUUAAGAUCACGGUCGCAGGAUUACCUGCAGGAGGGUACCUUUGUCUCCUCGGUCUUCUUGUUGCUUUUCCCCAACCUGUAAGCUUACUGUCUUCAAGUCCCACCACUGAUACGCUCUCUAUCACUGGCUGUGCCAUUGACGGGCAAACUGGAGCUUGGCUUGUGAUUCGUUUUCUUUUUGAGUUCCGUCUAGCAGCCACUCCAGAGUUCCAAGUGUGCUCUCUGCUUUUCAUAAGCCCACCAAACAAUUGGAUAUCUUCAUUGACUUCAUGCCUCGAUAGAGAAGGGAGUCCAGGGAGAGUAUCUCUCUGGAAAUCCCGCUUUGGUCUUCCUCGUCUUGCUUGUCCUCUUCUGGGCCUGUUUGAACCCGUCACUUCGAAUAUCAGAUUCUCAGGGACUAAGGGCUCUGGCAUGUAGUCUUCUUCCUUGGUGGGAUGUAAAUUAAGGGUCAUGGCUUCAAAGUAAUCAAUCUCCCCAGAAGAAUCUCCUUCGUGAUCAGCCUUUCGUUCUAACUCAUCACCCUGAGAAGUGAUAAUGUCUGCGAACCACGAGAGCGGACUUUUCCCAGCCGCAACAGUUGAAGAGGAAGCUGCGUCACCGGGAAGACGUUGGUGAUCAGACAAUGAGAUGGCGACUAUUGCUUGUGCUGCUUCCUUGAUGAGUUCAUCCAAGGAGUUUCCGUCUUUGCCUUUCAUCAAUCCCCAUGUUUCUUCAUUUGAUUUCUCACUCUCUCUAUCUUCUUCUUCUUCACUCUCCAGUGUAGGGGGAGCUUCCAAAUCUAUACAAAUUAUUCCUUUUGUUUUCACUCUCAGACUGGAAUGUAAAGCAGAAUCUUCAUCAUCCUCACUAGCACAUGAAUUCAGAUCAAUGUAGUGUCUGAAGUUGCCAGCCUUAUUUCCUUCUUCCUUUCCAACACGAAAGGCUUUAGUACCAUGCUGGUCAUUACAAACCGAGGCAUCACAUGGCAAGUUGAUAUCAAGGUCGCGCUUAACCAAGUGAUUCACUUCCUCCUUGAAAAUAGUAGGCUGCUCAAAGAUUGGGCACCCAAUGAUUUUUCUACUAUGUGGAUUGAUCAUUUCAACUCUUCCCACGUUGGCAUUAUAAGAGCAUGAAGUAGAUGAUCUCAAACUCUUCUGAGGUGAAAUACUAUUUAGGCCGUCCCCUGUGUCAGUUCCAUCAAUGGAUUGAUUUGUCGAAGCAUUCAAAUCCAAGAAGCCAUUAGAUACUUCACUUCUGUUAAGUGGCUUAGGUUUUAGCCAUGGUAGCCCAGCCGAUCGUUCCUGCUUUUUUGGCCCUUGAAGGCUUUCAAAAUUCUGGUUCUUCACUACCUCUCCUACAGAACCAUUUGGUCUAAAGCCAGCUGAUGGGAAAUUUAAGACAGCCUCCUUCGACCCUGAAGAGAAUCCAUGAUAAAUCCCGUUAGAGGCAGGACUUCUCAUCUCAAAAGUUGAAUCUGUCCUUGCAUGAGCGACAAAAUUCAUGUAGGGAUUCUUUUGAACUGGGUAAGAUUUUUGAUGUGAGCUGCUCCUAGGAUUCUCCCAUGAUGAAGACCAGUGGCUCCAUGGUCUUACGAAGUCAGGGCGGUAGUCAUUGUGUAACCUUGGAGUGUUAGAUGCCACACUUGAUUCCACGUGGCUAUCAUAAGAAGCUUGAGGAUUCUUCGAACGAACUUCCAGAUCACGAUAUCCUGGGAAUAUUACCUUGUUAUGAUCAGUUGUAGGAUAGCUCUGAGGUUGAAAUCCAUUGUUAGAGAAUGCUUGUGCAGAAUGGGAAGGCAGCUGGUCUCUAUGUGUGCUUCUGCUGUUCCCUAUUAACACAGUGACAUGAACAUUUUACAUUUUUGAGAGAAAGAAGAUAGGCAAAAAUGGCUACAUACUGAAUCAACACACAAUUCAAAACCGUUAUAUGAUCCAUCGACAUGUACAUGCAUAAUAAGACACUACUAUGACAUAUUUUCAGCUAAUAAAGCACAUGUGAGCAGGAAGACACACACAGUCUCAGUUUUAUAUCAUUUCAAAGAUUAAAGAAAUGAAACGAAAAUAAAGGGCAUGCCACUUGUUUUAAAAGGUCACCUGCUUCAAGGACCAUCCAUCCAUUUUGACUAGUGUUUUUCUCCAAACAGAGUCCUUGAACAUCCGCAUUGUUUCUCCCGUAAUGAGCAUGCAUGUCCCUGGAUAGAGAAACAGGUUCUGAAUCUUGACACUUGAGUGGCUCAUUCAAGUCAGCUAGGCCGUUUGAGUUCUUCACAUCCAAACAAGACCCUGAAGAGUUGCUCUGAUGAGAAGCAUCCCCUCUUCCAGAUUUGGACCGUUUGAAUGGAGGGAAGAUUGUAAUCUCUUCGUUAUCACCAGUUUCAUCGGUAUCAAGAUACUCAUCGGCAGGGAGUUGAAGAUCAAUCAUUUUUCUCCUAGCCUUCACAGGACUAACACUAAACCCAUUUUGCAAACGACCGUUACAAGCUUGAGAGCUGCUCCCUUCUCCAUACCCAGGAAGCUGCCUUUUACUUGCAGUCUCAGACGUAUAAUCACUAAAACUAAACUCUUCUUUAGAGUUCUUCCCCUUUACUUCAUCCACCAGCUUCCUCUGGACUCUGUACAAACGGUGAAGCUCAUGCACCUGACAUCAAUACAAACAAAGUCAAAAUCUUUAAAUGAGGAAAGGAAACUCAAUAAAGUAUUAGAAAGAAAGAAAGAAAGAAAGAAACCUGGUUCUUAAAUACAGCUUCGUGCUCAAGCAUUGUCUGUUUCAUGAAAUCUCUCUCGUACCCUCCUGAGUAUGACGAAUCCGCCGCAGCAUAAGAAGCUCUUAUCGACCCGUUGUGAUACUGAAGAUUUGCACCAUCUCCACCGCGGCGAUAAGCAGACCAACUACAAGUAUUGAAAUCUUCACUCAUUGAGGGCAAAAAGGUUUCACAGUGAGUGGACCACUCUUGCUCCCUCAUUCCUCUCUCCAAUGAAGGCUAGAUUCUGCUGCAAUUUCACAAUGCUUUGAUUCAGAUUCAAACUUAUACAAUCACAGGGUUCACAAUCAAGUGAUUAUAAAUUUCUUUUUUUUUGAAAAUCCAAAUCCAAAAACAUAUUUGUAUAUUAAAAUAGUUUUGUGGAUCGAUUUGACUUAUAAAUGACUUAAACCUAAUUCAUCAAACAAAGCAACACAGAUUAGCAAAUUAUAUAUUUUUUAAAAGAAGAUAGAAAUGGCAAAUUAAAAUAAAAGAAAAUAUAUAAUAUAAAAAUAAGGUUGAUAGAGAUUGUACCUCUCAUCAUCUGAUCGCACUUUGAACAGACGAUAAAAAAUCAUCUUUAAUCGUUGAUUAUUGGAAACACUCACUCCCAAAUCUUAUCGAUAAAUGAAAAAAAAAUUGAAUUAAGAAAAUAAAGUGCGAAAUUAAUUAAAUACCGAAUUUUUGAAUCAGGAGAGAUUCAAAAUCUAAAGUAACGACGACAGUUUAGUGAUGAAGAAGAGAGCUAAACAAUCAUGGAAGAAGAAGAAGAUAGCUCUCAAGCCGUCUUCUAAAAAUCUCUCUCUCUCUCUUUAUCUCUCUCCUUGUCUCUGGCUUUUCUAUCGCUCAGAUUCUAUUAGCGAAUGCAAUAACCAUAAAAGAAUUAAGGAGAGCUUUUAUAUUCCUUUUUUUAAUCGGAUUUGUUGUUUUCUUAAAAUAAAAACAAAUAAAUAAAUACGGAAACGAAAGAGGCUUCUAAUAACAGUGACGUGAUAUUUUGUCAACACUCGCUCCUUCCCUUCUUCUUUUUUCUCGUGAUCUACUACUCACUUUUACAUUUUCUGUUUUUAGAGAUCUGGUCGGUUUUUUAAUUGUAGUUUCUAUAUUUGUUUUUCGUUUUUAGUAUAAAAGUGUAGUUUCUAUACUGAUAAAAAAAUAUCACUUAAAAAGAAAGAUGUUAUUAAAUGUUUGUAAAAUUAUCACUUAAACAGACAGAUGCUCUAAUAGUUUUCUUAAUUUUUAAAAUGUUUAUUUGGUUGAGAAAUGGUAUUCUAAAUUUUCACUUUUUAACCUUUUCAUUUUUAUUAAUUUCUGGAUAUAAAAGUAUAGGAUAAGAAAAAAAAGAUUAAUUUCGAAAUCCUAUACACUAUUACAAAUGAUGUCUUUUUCUAUUGGGGGUAAAUACAUGUUUUUAAACAGCUAAAAUUUACAAAUUGUUGCUAAAAAAAACAGCUAAAACUAUUUUACCCUAGAUUCUCUUUGUAUCUUUGAAUGCGGACAAUGAUUUUGGACGGAAAUAAGAUAGGAUCGGAAAAUAUUUUAUUUACGUUACUUUACGAAAAAACAACAUUAUUUUGGCAGCCUUAAUAUUUUUUAAGCCUUAUUAUUUAUACUUAUCUUUUUAUAUAUGAUUUAAUAAUAAAAUCGUGCAAUGAUGUGUAUAUCAGUAAUUUACAUCUAUAUCCUCACCGGAUCUACUCUAGCUUUACAUAAGGAAACAAUACAUCACCUAACAAUUUAUAAUUCAUGUAGAGAUAAAAUAGCAGACUGGUCCAAAUCCAUCCUUAUUUUGUAAAUAUUAAAAGUUAUUUCUAAUUUUAUAAGUCAUAGUAAUGUUUUUCUUUCAACCAGAAGCAGAAAUAAAAAAAUAUAUAUCAAAUGAUAAUUAGCAUGCUAUUUUAAGACCCCUUCUCAAAAAACAAACUAUGCAAAACUAAACAACAAGUUUGAUGAUAACAUUAUUAAUUUCUAAAUGAGGCAUCAAAUAUUUAUUAAGUUAGGUAGAUAAAAGCCAGUGGGGCCUACAUGUGAGCCAACUUUAAGGUUUUCAGUUUACGUUUGUGGGGGGUGUUGAUGUCAAAAAAAAAUGUGGGUAAUAAAAUAAAUACCCCUGACCUUGUGGAUAAUUACGAGUUUUGUGAUUAUCGUUCGAAGCUUUGUUUUUCUGGUCGUUCUUGAUUGGCUAUUUAUCUCUACUCUCUUAGUGAAAAAAUCAAUUAAAAGGCUGUUUUGUGGAGAUUAUUACAUUAACUGCUUCAAGAAAAGCAUUUUUUAAGUCCUGACACGUGACAGGUGUUUUAGUGGACGAACAUAUUAUCAUACAUUUGAUAUACUAAUGUAUAAACGAAUCUAAAGAGUUUUUGUUUGAAACUUUUGAAUUUACAUUUGAGAUUUUCUUGUUUCGGUUUUACAGCUAGAGAGAAACUAAAAUUAUAUGGUCAUGAAAUGGAUCUCGACCAUGCUUUUUAAAUUAGUUUGUCUACUGAUUAAACAAAUAAGAAAUAUACAAAAAUGACUUGGGCUGGGCUCCUAAAAUAAUUAAUUUAUAAAGCUCCCAAGCCCACACGUGGUUGACUUUGUAUAUCGGGGCCGGAUAUUCACAAUGUUCAGUUUCAUACAAGCUUCAGUUAUUUUCAAGAUUCUUGAUAUUUGCCUUUAGUUUUCUGCAUGUUUAACAAAGCUUCUGCAUUGAGGAGAAGAAGUUAUAAACUAUGAAUAUAAGAUCAUUCAAGCUUGUUUUCGAAUCGUAAGGUGAGGAAUAACUUAGCUUAAAUGAGUUAGCUAUUUAUCUAAGGCAGUUAAAGGUUCACCUUUAGUUUCUUUUAACCAAACAAAACUGUAGUUUUGAAACGCAAGUAAAAAAAAUCAUUUUUAUGCGACUAGAAAGAUAUGAAGACGUUGCAACAUCAUGAAAUAGGUAACUCAUUAACUCAUCAAGCAAGAACUGGAACUGUAGAAAGAAUAAACCAUCUGAUUCUAACUGGUUUGUAAAGUUUGUGAGGUAUGGAUCUAUUACUAGAUGUUUAAUAACUCAAUUUACAUUUCCAAUUAGUAACCAGUAACGUGGUGAAGAACACCUUAUCAGCUAUAUAUGUCGUGACAUGCUAAGUUGAAUGGAAGAAAAAUUGUUCUUGGGAUGACGUUUAAGAUUGAAGGCUUUCAUUGCAUUUUAAAUAAACUAAUUGUAUAUACAUUUGAUCAGAAAAUUGGUUUAGAUACACGAUGUAUCCUUCAAUGAACUCAUGUGUUACUUACACCACCAUAUCUUCUUUAUUUAUUAUUUUUUUUUUUUUGUAACUUAUAUCUUCUUUAUUUUUCUGCAUCAAUUAGUGUGACCGAGGAGAUAUUUUCUUCAAGGUGAUUGAUCCAUCUGAUUUUCAAAUAUGCAAGACUUUUCCUUAAUUAGUAGCGUUGGAUUUUCUUAACUAUUAUACAAUUAGGGAUGUCAAAUGGUGUAUACUAGUUUUUAUGAGUUCAGUUAUUACUUUGUUUUAGAUUUGUCGAACCGUAUACUAAGCUUUAGCAGUUAUGUUUUUUUUUUUUGAACAAUAGCAGUUAUGUUAUAUUCAAACAUGUUAAACUUAAUUUCAAUAUUCCCUUCUCGCAUCUGAUCAGCAAAGAAGCAAAUCUUCAAAAAUUAAGUUCAUAGUUGACAAAAUCACAAGCAUAUAUACACACCGAGUCUUGUUGUAAGAAAGCAUAAACACAAACAAAAAGAUAUUUGUCCCAACACAUCAAUGUAUAUUGUUUUCACUCUGAACAACCUCAUCUUUACGAGUAAAGAGAACUUCUUCAUCGUCAGCACAUUUUGUAUUCAUCGUGAAUCACUAUAAGUAUACAAGCACACUAAUAUAUAAUGGUUAUCAUCCAAUUCAUCAAAUCUAACUUCGUGUUAGAAUCUCAACUCCCAAGCUACCAAUUUGUACUUUCAUAUUCUCAUCCUACAUCAUCAUCUAACCGAAUGGAACAACGUCUCGUUUAGUUCAUGUCGGGUAAAAAUUUAAACCACACCCUUUUUUUUUCCCCUUAAAGAUACAGUUCAAAACUAUGGUUAAUAAAUCUGGAUCAGGCCUUAUAAGUUUAUAGAUGGGCUGGGCCCAAAAGCAACCCUAGAAAAGCCUGCGAUCCUCCGUAUAAAAAACGGAGUUCUAGGUUAUCGUACCCAUUCCCGUCUUCCUUCCCCCAAACCUAAAUUACUGAAACAUGUCUGACGAAGAGCACCACUUCGAGUCCAGCGACGCCGGAGCUUCCAAAACCUACCCUCAGCAGGCUGGUAACAUCCGUAAGGGUGGCCACAUCGUCAUCAAGGGCCGUCCCUGCAAGGUUUCAUUUCCAUCUCCUCCUUAUCAUCAUUUUUUAGAUCUCCGUUGUUUAGGUUUCUGGGGAAUAAUCAGAUCGAGUGGAUCUAAGAGAUUUAGUUUGUGAUUUUUUUUCUUUUUCGGAUUGAUUAGGUUGUUGAGGUUUCGACUUCGAAGACUGGGAAGCACGGUCACGCAAAGUGUCACUUUGUUGCUAUUGACAUCUUCACUGCUAAGAAGCUUGAGGAUAUUGUUCCCUCUUCUCACAAUUGUGAUGUAAGUAUAAAAAAAAUACAAACUUUACAUAAGAUCUAGUUGUGGUCUGAUUCAGAUUUGUUUAUUCUUGUGUGUGUCAGGUUCCCCAUGUGAACCGUAUUGAUUACCAGUUGAUUGAUAUCUCUGAGGAUGGCUUUGUAUGUCUCUCUCUCAUCAGUCAAAGCUUUGUUUUUUUCUUCCGCACUUUCUCUCAUUACUCAUAGCUUUGUUUGUUCAUGAUCUUACAGGUUAUAGCCUUUUGACCGACAGUGGUGGCACUAAGGAUGACCUCAAGCUUCCCACCGAUGAUAGUCUCAGCGCUCUUGUUAAUAUCUUGUCCUUUCCUACUUAUUUAUGUGAAUUGUUUUCAUUUUUGAGGUUGUGUUAUUGAAUUUAUUUUGUGAUUCGCAGAUGAAGAGUGGAUUCGAGGAGGGAAAGGAUGUUGUGGUGUCUGUCAUGUCUUCAAUGGGAGAGGAGCAGAUCUGUGCCGUCAAGGAAGUUGGUGGUGGCAAGUAAAAUCCAUUCUCUUUACACUGAGGGAGGAUAAUCUUAUUACCAGUGGUCAAUGUUAUAAGAACAAGAACUUGUUUUUUUUUCUUUUUCUAAUUUAGAUCAUUUGUGUUGUGUUUCUUUGUUGCAAGACAACCAUUAUCUAUUAUUGGUUUUGGAUUGUUUAAAAGUUUCGUGUUUUAAAACAGGGAAUGUUUUCCUAUGAGAUUCUUAAAUCCCUUUGCUUUUUAUGAUGAUGUGCUUGGUUAUGUUGGUCACGAAAGUUGUGUUUAUACAAGAACAACAUUAGCCAGAUGAAGGUCAAUGUUAUUAGUCAUUACACGUUCUUGACUAUUCACAAACUUUUGUAUUAAACAUCAACAGAAGUAGCAUGAAGCGAGGUCAAAAUUUCAAUUUUUGCUCUUAGUGGCGUAGUCAAGGGGUCUCCCCCUUUGCAGCAAUUUGUUUCAGAAAUUCGCUGAAACAGCUCAUCACCAAUGUGUUUCCCUAUGUUCAUCACAUCACUGUCUCUUUUGUCUAAAACAGCAGUGGUUUACUCAGUGGACGUCACUUACUCUUAGGGAUAAAGUCGAGAUAAGCAAGUUCUUGGUUGCGUUGCAGAAGCUAUGGAGACGAGCUGUGUUCACUUACAUGUGGAUUUGCAUUCUUUUUGUCGCUUGAUUCACUUUCUUCUGCGUCUCCUUGUAGCAAUCUGCAGCUCCUUCUCUGCUCUCGGCUUCUCUCCAGACUGCAAAUGUUAAGGGAGCCGUCUUAGUCGAGUUAGCACUCUCUGUUGCUUUCGCCAACGCCAUUAUAAUCUGCAGCACCGCGGCGGUGGUCACGGUUCUUGAAGAUGUUUCAGGGGCAUGAGCGUUGGUGGGAGCUAGUGAUAUGAUCAAAGGGCAAUGUUCAAGUUGGUUUGUUGAUGUUCCUUGGUUCAAGUUGGCUGCCAAUAUCUGUUUUUUUUUUAAAGAUGUAUACCAAUGAACAUUUUUUGUUUCACUUGGAAAAACCUCAUCCAUUUUCAAGGCUUUGUGUUAUAUAUAUUGCUACGUUUACAUGAUUUGAAAGAUCAUAGCAGCUCAAUGCUCAAGUUGGGUUAAAUAGUAAUUUUGAAAGUAGGUAGAUUUUUGUGAGAAUUAAUUAUUAUAAAAGGACUUAAAGUCAAUAUUUGCUUCUUGGUGAUCGCAAACCCCGGUUUAAAUAGUACUCGUUCAAAUUGCAAAACCACAAUUAUCUCGUUCACCGUCGGUCCGUCGCCACUCGCCGUCACCCACCGCCACACCAUCAGCAUAGUUUAACUUCGCUGUCUCCACUGAAGCGCCGUCUUUAGGUCGUGUCCAGACAUUUAUCAUCAUCACCUUGCCAGUGAGUUCCAAACAUAUUGGAACCUUUGCUGUUCUCUGUACUUUCUGAACUAAUCGUUUAUCGACUUAGGUUUCUCAAAUUGAAAUGUUCCUUUCAUAGAUUAUUUUUGGCUUAGAGGCCUGUUUGAUUCUCAUAUUUGGAGCUGAACUACGUAAUUGUGUUUCUCUCUAAAAGCGUUCACCACGUGUUCGAUGUAAUGCCUCCAAAGUUUUCAUGCAUUCUCUCUGGACUUGUUCUUAGAUAUUGACUGUUUGGCGAUUCUUGACUUUGAAACGAGCAACUCAAUAUUCUAUACUUUUAAUUUAGCCUGAGUCUAUGUCUAAAGCCUCAAGCUUUAUAUGGUUUGGUCAUGUUGCAGUAAUGGACGAGGGACGUCAAAAGGACUUGCAGUUGUUGGAGGAAAUCAUCGAUAAAGGUCUUAAACAGAAGCUUCUACAAACGAUUGCUUCACGGUAAUUCAAAUUUGCCUCCUUUUUCAUAUCCAGAUUUAAAAUUGUAUCUAUGAUGUUAGAGGGUUAGGUUAGCUUGUCUUCGUUGCAUUCUAUUCCUUUUGUAGACUCUUUUUGAAUAAUGUUUUCUCAUUAUGUCUCUUCACUUUGUUGGUUUCGCAGGGACAAGAUUUUUGAAGAGCAGAAAGAACUGUAUCCUUUUGUAUAGGAAAUACUCUUCUGUUUCUCCAAAGAUUUUUGUAUAGAAACUCUUGUUUUUAGUUUCUCCCUUGUCUAGCUGACUGAUUCAAAUACCAUUCAGUCUUUCGCUUAGUUUCGAGUUUCUUGUAAUCCAGAAGAACUCUUCUUGGUGUACUCGUUGACAAUACUUUACUGUUCUAGUGAGCUCUCAUUUAGUUCGAAGUUCUUCUUUUUUUUUCCUUAAUAACUACUCCCGCUCCAGCUCUGACUUGCGGAAAAACAUAGAAACUCUGGAGAAAAAUGGUGUAAAUAGUCUCAAAACUAUGGUCAACCUCGGUUCAGAAGUUUACAUGCAAGCUGAAGUGUAAGUCACUUAUAGCUUCGGUUCUUUCUUUUGCAUCUUAGUCAAGUCAGUAUCUGAGGAAAUGACAUGCACUGUCUCCAUACUGAGCUAAUUUUUUUUUACAAAUAACACUGAACUCUUGUUUAUUCAAAUAGUGUACUUUCACUGUGUUAUGUAUGUUAGAUGCUAGUUAUGUAUCAUUGAACAGAAAAAAUGUUUGUAACUGCGGAUUAAAAUUGGAGAUGGUAUAUACCAGUCUUACUUCUGAUUUCGUUUACACUUGGUUUGGGUGUCUGUUUUGAGUUCAGGCCAGAUACAAGACACAUAUUCAUGGAUGUAGGGCUUGGUUUCUAUGUGGAGUUCACCCGGCAAGAAGCUCUUGACUAUAUUCCAAAAAGGGAGGAACUAGUUAAAAAGUAUGACAACGCCUUGCUUUUUCUUUGCUCCACAUGGUGUUUUUCUGAAUUUAUGUUUGCCGUCUCUUCAAGACUUGGGCUGUUCUAUACACAACCUUGUCGCAUUGGUGUUAUCAUACCUGUGAGGUUAAUUUUAGGGAAAGCAUAUGGUUGAAUUAUUGUUUACGACGAAUGAGUUGUCUGGUCGAAUGCAUCAUAAUGGCUAAAUGUUGAUACUAUAAAUGGUGGUUUUGUUUGUUUGUUUGUUUUUACAGACAAUUAGAAGAGGUAACUAAAGUCAUUGCACAGAUCAAAGGGCGUAUCAAGCUGGUAAGUUCUAAGAGUAGUAUCUUGCUUUGUAAAAAUUCAAUUAGAAUGAGAAAAUCACUAAUAAACUAGUCUGCAUUCUCAUCUAGUUAUUUGCGUUGUUAAUGGUUGUUGUUAGCUGAACAUUGUAAACAAUUUUGCAGGCUCAUCACCAGAUUCAGCAAAUACUCAAUCUUCCCGACGAGAAUCCAUCGUCACACCGGCAACGUGCGUUUCAGUACUAACCAUGAGAGAAAGAUACGUUAAUGAGGAUUACUACUACCCUGUCCAUUGGUUAUGCAAGGGCCCUGCGCUGUCUUUCUUUAGUUUUUUUUUAAAGUUUAAGCGUGUGGAAAAGGAGAAUUAUCUUAAAAAAAAUAAAUUUAAAACUAAUCUCUGAAUUGGAACUUCAAAAGAAUCAAAACAAAAACUCAUUUCGUGGCGCACAAGCUCGAUUUUAUUUCAUUUACUAUUUACCAAUUAACCAUUUAAAUUGGACAUGAAACCGAAAUAAAAUAUUGUUUCAACCAAACCCGAUCCAAUAUACGUCAGCAAUUAGUAGAAAAGCCACGUCAGCAAUUCAUAGUGUGUCCGUCGAUGAUUAAAAUUAGAAAUUAGGGUUACGGAUCAUCUUCUUCACCCCUUGCGUCGGUGCUCUGUUCAUCUCCCGUGGUGUGGACUUCGUAGUAUCGUAAUCUCACGGUUGAAGCACCUUACUAACCCUAAGAAUCGCUACCCCUCUCUCUCUCUCUGUCGUUGGCUGAUUCGCUCGCCAAACCCAUCUCUGAUACAGGUAAGAUACGAAUCUCGAUCAAUGCCAGUGAUUAUCGCUUGAUUUGGGCAUCCUCAAAUUGAUUGAAAUUGCUUAAAUCUUGAGUCUUUCAUACGAAUUUCGAUCGGAUUUGAGAUUAAAUUGGUCACUUUGGAUGUUUUGUGUAUGUCUCAGCUGUGAUGGAACCAGGACAGAACACAAGCGCAGCAGGGAUUGGUGGAAGCAACGGUACAACUACGAUGGGAUAUCAAACCAAUGAUGGAACUGCCACUGCGUCUGAAGAUUCAAAGGAGAAUCUGAACCAAGUCAUUAACUCGAUUCAGAAGACUUUGGGACUCCUUCAUCAGUUACACCUUACUGUCUCCUCUUUCACGCCCGCUUCUCAGCUUCAUCUCCUCCAGCGCCUGUACUUCCUCUCUUUCCCAUCACUCUCUGUUCUAUAAAGAUCAUAGUUUUGUGGGUAUUGCUUUAAUGAGAAUGUGUGUAUCUUUGCAGCAAUUCUCUGGUGUCGGAGCUGAAUAGCAUGACUAAGUUGUCCGAGAAAUGCAACAUUCAAGUCCCCAUGGAAGUUCUUAGGUGAGCAUCAUGUCCUUUUUAUGCAAAACUUUGCUUUGGGUUUCUGAUGGUUACUGGUGGCUUUGCUUACUAGCUUGAUUGAUGAUGGGAAGAACCCGGACGAGUUUACAAGGGAUGUUAUUAAUAGCUGCGUUGCCAGGAAUCAAGUUACAAAGGGCAAGACUGAUGCUUUCAAGGUGGACUCCCUUUCUCUGCUGAGUCUUUUAACUUGGGUAUGGGAUUUUUACUCUUUUUUUUUUGAAAAUAUUGUUUCAACCAAACCCGAUCCAAUAUACGUCAGCAAUUAGUAGAAAAGCCACGUCAGCAAUUCAUAGUGUGUCCGUCGAUGAUUAAAAUUAGAAAUUAGGGUUACGGAUCAUCUUCUUCACCCCUUGCGUCGGUGCUCUGUUCAUCUCCCGUGGUGUGGACUUCGUAGUAUCGUAAUCUCACGGUUGAAGCACCUUACUAACCCUAAGAAUCGCUACCCCUCUCUCUCUCUCUGUCGUUGGCUGAUUCGCUCGCCAAACCCAUCUCUGAUACAGGUAAGAUACGAAUCUCGAUCAAUGCCAGUGAUUAUCGCUUGAUUUGGGCAUCCUCAAAUUGAUUGAAAUUGCUUAAAUCUUGAGUCUUUCAUACGAAUUUCGAUCGGAUUUGAGAUUAAAUUGGUCACUUUGGAUGUUUUGUGUAUGUCUCAGCUGUGAUGGAACCAGGACAGAACACAAGCGCAGCAGGGAUUGGUGGAAGCAACGGUACAACUACGAUGGGAUAUCAAACCAAUGAUGGAACUGCCACUGCGUCUGAAGAUUCAAAGGAGAAUCUGAACCAAGUCAUUAACUCGAUUCAGAAGACUUUGGGACUCCUUCAUCAGUUACACCUUACUGUCUCCUCUUUCACGCCCGCUUCUCAGCUUCAUCUCCUCCAGCGCCUGUACUUCCUCUCUUUCCCAUCACUCUCUGUUCUAUAAAGAUCAUAGUUUUG